rnacentral:lncRNA from 1 species
CCGCUACAAUAGUUGCCAGCAUCCUAGCGUUUGCUCCUGGUGUCUCUUUGCUUGCACCCUUCACUCCAAGUAAGUUCAAACAGGCUGAUUGAGAUGCAAGCUGAGUUCCACCACCAACAGUACCAACCUAAAAGAUACAGCAACAGAGAUAAAUACCCAGAUUCUGUUUAGGCGAUCAAAAUUCUUGUGUUUGAUAAUUAGACAGAAACACUAUGAAUUACCUCAAUGGAGGGCAUUGUGACAGAGAUGUGGAGGUCCUUGCCCUCGUUAACAGCUUCCAUCAUCGUGAUGCAAUGGGAGCUCUCAACGUUUUGAGCCGGAUCUUGUCCCGUAGCUAUGUAGAUUGCGGCAACGAUGUUACUGGCGUGAGCGUUGAAUCCACCCAGAGCUCCAGCCAUAGCUGAUCCAGUAAGGUUCUUAAGCAUGUUAAGCUCAACGAGAGAUUCCACACUUGUCUUCAAGACCUUCCUCACCACAUCACCCUUAAUGAUGACUUCACAGACAACAGAUUUGCCUCUUCCUUCAAUCCAAUUUACAGCAGCCGGUUUUUUGUCGGAACAAUAGUUUCCUAUAUGCAAAAUUCAUAAAUAUCAGUUAUCCUAUGUCAAACAGUAAAGACAUAAUUCAGUUAUCCUAUGUCAAACAGUAAAGACAUAAUUGCAAGUCUAUGCAAAAAAAUUGAAACUCACCAGAGAUGCCAAUGACAUCCAUGUCAGGGAAAUCAGUUUGAAGGAAAUCCAAAACGUUUUGGACUCCCUUGGAAACCAUGUUCAUCCCCAUAGCAUCACCGGUACUGCAAGUGAAUCUAAUAUACAGAUUCUUUCCAGCAAUUGCACAUUUGAUACCUUGGAGCCUGCCAAAUCUACUUGAUCUGCAACCACCAAAAAGCCAAAAUUUUCAAUAUUAGCUUGAAUUUUAAAUCCAUCAAUAUGGAGUUCUAGAAAUAUCAACACAAACCUGUUGAAAACAACAGACAAGGUCUCGAAAUUAUCAGGGUCCUCCAAAUACAACUUCAAAUCAGCUGCCCUUUUCGCAGUACCGAACCUUACACAUGGAGCUCUAGUCAUACCAUCUUUCAAUAGAACACUUGUAGCUCCACCAGACAAAUGAAUAGCCUUACAGCCCCUAUUAGUGCUAGCCACCAAGCACCCUUCCGUGGUUGCCAUAGGAACCGAGUACUCUCUUCCAUUAACCAACAAAGGCCCAGCAAUUCCAACGGGAAUCUGCACGUAGCCAACCGGCAUCUCACAACACUGCCCUAAAAUCGACUCGUAAUCAAACCCAUCCAAGGGCAAUCCUGAUAACGACUUCCCUGUUAAUCUUUGCAACGCUUCCCGCCUGAUUGCGGCCGCCCUCUUGCAAUCACCCAAUUUCGAUUCCAAGGAAUACGAAGGGGUUGUUCCAGCAACUACAGAUUUAAUUAUUUCUUCAUCUUCCUCCGUUAGUACCGUCACAGGCUUUUCAUCGAACACUUUCUGGGCAGUCACGAUUGGUGCCGCAGGAGGCAAAGGAGGAAGCAAGCAAUCAAGAGCUUGUCCGCAAGGGACCUUACGGGCAUCCUCUUUUGCAAGCAAAACUUCGUUUUCCUCUUCCUCGUCUUCGGCAAUCCAAACGUCAGGCGAUGGCCGGAAAACCAAAGAUUGAACGAAGUCAAUCCCAAAGAAACCCAAAAGGUAAAUAAACGAUGUGAAAAACGCGAGAAUCGCGAUGAUCUCAGAAAAGGUGACGACAUGGAGACGCGUGGAGGUACGGAUCUUCUCACGCCAACGGGAAAGAAGGAAAUAAACCACCGAGAAGAAGAGGGUAAAGAACACCGCAUUCGUCAGAUGCAAAGGAAGCGGCAAUGCGUCGGAGGCUUUAGUGGGAUCUUCCUCUAAAGGAAUCUUCUUCGUGGGCUUGAGAGAUUGAACUCGUUUAGUCGAAUACAGCCGGGGAGCCUCCAUUUUGGGUGUCGACGGCGGCGGAAACCCGGCGGUGGAGGAGAAGAAUAGAAGAGGAAUGAAAGUAAGAGAUGAUUUCAGUUAGUUUUACGAUUAUGGUGAAGGUGGAGCUUGAGAUGCUAGAGUUUAGGGAGGGAAGGGGAAGUAUUUAUAGGAUAAAGAGUAAAGAGAGCGUGAGGAAAAAGGCGCGUGAAGUAAAGAUGGGGCAGUGUUUGGCACUUGUUAGUGUGGAGCUUUACCAAGAGAAGAGUCAAAGAAAGAAUUAUAGGGAUAGUGUUUGGAAGCGUGCAGUGCAUGGGAGCAACGUCGUCAGCACAUCCUGGCUGCUUCAUUUUCAUUUAGGGUAAACUACACAAUCAGUCACUAAAGUAUGGGUACGUUUUUGUUUUGAUCACUGAACUAAAAAAAGUUACAAUUUGGUUUCUGAACUAUUCAAAAGUUUUUAUUUAAGUCACUGAACUGUUAAAAUCGAUGCUACAUAGCUUUUUCUCUUCACACUGCCUACAUGAAUCGGAAGCUCUCUUUCCCUUUCUUUUUUACGGUUCAAUUUUUUUCUACAACUUUUUUCUUUGAUAGAAAUUGACAUUUAGAUCGACUUGAAUCUAAGAUAUGUUCUUUUACUUGCUAAUUGGUAUUGAUCUACUUUACCAGUCGUUGAGUCAUCACUUGGAGCUCGUUGGCAGAACUUUUUUUAAAAAAUAGUUAACAACCUAGUGACUUAAAUAAAUUUUUUGAAUAGUUUAGUAACUUAAAUGAAAAUUUUCAAAUAUUUUAGUGACCAAAUUAUAACUUUUUAGUUAAGUGACCAAAACGAAAACUUAUCCAUAAUUUUCCAUUCAUUAUAUUUGGUCUUUCUCCCUAUUUUGAUAUUUCUGUCACCUGUUUUUCAUUAUUGUAUGGGUUUAAUUAUUCCUUAUUUUGGGUUGUUUUUCAUAAUAAAUUAUCCAAAUAAAUAUUAACGCUGUUGUUAAGUUAUAUACAUUUUUGGGCAAAUGUCUAUUAAAAGAAAUAGAAAUGAAAGAAAGUCGUAUUUAUUAUUAGCAUAAUUUUUUUUACCUUCCAAAUUUAUAAAAAGAUUAUUUAUUUUAUCUCUUUUAGUCUUUUAAUUUAUUUUUUUAUCAAAUUAUUUCAAAAUGAAUUAAAAAGUUAAAAUUCUUUAACUUUAUUGAUGUUACAUACACGUAGAUUACCAUCUAGAUAACACAUAAAUAUUUAAAAUCUUAAAAACAUUAACAAAUAUAUAUUUUUAUACUUUUAUACUUUUAUAAUACUUUUAUUGGUUUUUAAAUUUUAAAAAUAGUUUUUAAAAAUAUAUUUUUAAAUUUUUAAAUUUUAAAAAAUUAAUUAAAUACCGACGUGUCAUCCACGUGACAAUGCACGUGUAUUCAAGUAAGCAAAGUUAAACAACAUCAACUUUUCCAUUCAUUUUGAGGUAAUUUGACAAAAAAAAUAUUAGUUUAAGAGCUAAAAAAAGGACAAAAUUAAAUAGAAAGCUAAAAUGACAUUUUUUUGUAAAGUUAAAGAAUCAAAUAAAUUAUUAUGCCUUUAUUAUUUAAUAAAAUUUAUGCAAAGUAGGGCUUUGACUUGAAUUCAUAAUUAAUUUUGAUUUUUUCCUUUUGCUCGUAAUUAAUUGGAUAAGUUUAUAAGUUAAAUUAAUAUGUAAAAAACAUUAAAAUAUAGAGCUUUCACAGCUCAUUUUUCCUUUUUAGAUUAUUAUUUUUUUGCAUGUUUAUUACAUGUUGUUUAUUAAAUUAAAGUUCAAAUUUGACAUUUUUAAUAUUUUAAUAUAAUCAAAUUAUGACCUAUUUUAUAUUAAAUAAAAUCUAGCCCAUUCUUUAAUCCUUAAUUUUCACGUUUCUGUAUUUUUUUUUCCCAUCAAUUCAAGCAGCCUCUUGCUCUGUAGUCAUAUGUAUGUAUAUAUGACAAUAAUUAUUAUUCGGUUUACGUGGACUUUUAUACAAUAAUGAAGAUUUUUUUUUAGGCUAAAGUAUUAAAACAUAAUUUCAAAAAUCAAGUGUAAUAAACAAAAUCCUUAAUCCAAUAAUUAUAAUAAUAAAUUGGAUCUUUGAAUUAUCGUUUCCAACAAGACUUCUAAUACUUAAAUACUAAUAUGACAAGUGAUGUGACGGGUGACGUGAAACUUUUGAUGAUAUGAUGGUUGAUAUGUAGGGCUUAAUUGAUUUUUUUUAAUUAUUUUAGGAGGCUUAAUUGAUGUUUAAGGAUUAUAUAAAAAUUCUUAAGAAAUUAUUGAAAAUUAUAAAAAAAACAAAAAUGGAAAGAAAAUAUUAAAAUUAUUAUAAAAUUUUAGCUAAAAGUUAUUAAAAUAUUAAAAAAAAUGUUGAAAAUUAUACAACUAUAGAAUUUAUUAAAUAUCAUAAAAUUUUAAAAAAUUAUAAAAACUAUUAAAUAUUAUAAACUAUUAUUAAUAUGUUAUGAAAAUAAUGGAAAUAUUAAAUUAAUAUUAUAAAAAAUUUAGAAAUGAUAGGAAAUGAUAUAAAAACAAUUAAAAUGAUAAAAAUCUAUAAAAAAAUUAAAAAAAUUAUUGAAAGUAUAAAAAAUUUGAGUUAAGGUAGUGAUUGUAUAGACAUGAGUGUAUGAUAAAAAUUUUAUAUGCUUAAAAGUUAAUGACAUGGGUUUAUUCUAUUGAUGCCUAAAAACAUUAAUUUUUAAAAUAAUUUAUUUUUAUAAACAUUAAUAUAUACACUUUUUUAGAUCGAUAUGAUAGAAAAAUCGAAUCGAUUAAAAAUUUUACAAGUAAUAAUUUCAAUAAAAUGAUUUUAAAAAAAAAUAAAGAAUGUUUUUAUGGGCUACGUAAAAGAAUAUUGAUCACUCUAUAAGACUGGUUUUUUAUAUCCUUCUGCAUAUAUUUUAGUAGAUAAGGGAGAAAUUAUUUUCUUAACGCCUCUGGUUUCUGUAGGGCUGAAAUUUUCAUUCAGUCAAUGACAUGAAUUUCAAAAUAGGAUGCCUAUUUAAUUUUUAUAAAUACAAAUGAUUGUACCCAAAAAUAAUAAUUUGCAUGCGUAUAUAUAUUUGAAUAAUUUCUGAUUGUUCUAUUUGAUAUAAUGCUUAAUAUUAUUUAUAGUCUAUUCCCGACUCAUAAAUAGGAGAAUAAUGUGAUUCAGCAUACUCAAACCCACGUCAUCUUGCAUUGAAAAUAAUAAUCAUACUAAUCGAACUAAGACUUAAUCAACAAUUUGCAUAAUUCAUGCAAUUGGUGAUUAUUAUAAAACAACAUUCAAUAAAUAUUAAUAUUCAAAUGUUAAAUUUAUAAUUGUUUGUGCUAUUUUAGGUUCCAACAAGUCAAAAAUUCGUGUUGGGUUAGUUUUUUUUAUAUAUAUGUUUCUGGAGUAUAUAUAUGUAUAUAUAUAUAUGAGAUUUGUUAAAUGAUGCAGUCAAUUAUCAGGAGUCACUCUCGAAGGGUCUUAUCAUAUAAUAGAGCACAAUAAUGGUAUUUGUUAAAAUUGGAAUCUAAGAUGGUGAAAAGGAGGAUAGCCACCUUAGACUUAACCUUUUGUACAUUAUGGAUGCGAUGAGUCUCUUGGUUGACCGAAGUUUAUUGUCAGCCUUUUGUAGCCUUUUGUACAUGCGGUGAGUCUCUUGACAGAUAUUUCUUGGUUGACUGGAGUUUAUUGUCAGGUUGGUUUGAUGAUGGCACAAUUAUUAAGAUACAAUUUUCAAUGGUUUGAUCAAGAUGAUACAUUUUUUUUGUUUGUUUUUGAAUUCUUUUAGAGUUACGAAUAUUAUUUUAUAAACAUAACAUAUGAGCGUCAAUUUAUAAUUUAUUAUAUCCCAUAUUUUUAUAUUUUUAUUAUUCAUGAUUGCUAUUAAUGAUAUGUUUUCUUUGUACAAGAAAAAAAAUAUGAAAUAGACGAUAAGAUUGAAGUAAAUUUUUUUCCAAAAUAAUAAGCAUGCAUGAGAAUUAUUCAUCGCCAUGUGCUAAAGACUUGGACUGUUUGUCAAAGUUUUCUUCAAAAAAAUCAUAUAACUCACAAUGAAAGUUUAUAUAUAUAUAAGCAUAGUCAGGCCAACCAAUGUAGAAAAAAACUAACAUGAUAUCAUCUUUUGUUAUUGCCCAGUAUUUAUUUAGCAAAUAUUGACUGUAAUAUUGUCAUGAUUAGACCAUAUUAUUUUUGGACAAGAACAAGGUCAUUUCCACACAGGUAGAAGUGCAGUAAAUUCAAAAUAAAAUAUUAACUUAGUUUUAAAAUUAGAUUAAAAAGUCAAUGUAACCCAAAAAGUUCAAAUUAUAAGCCCCCUAGGUUCAAAUUUAAAAUUUCGAACAAAAUUAGGUGUCUAUAUAGAUAUUUUGUUAAAUACCAAAAUUUCCAAUGAAUUAUCAAAAAUUUUAACGAAUUAUCAAAAUUUCUAAACUUAUGUCCUUAGACAUUUUGGUGUACACCACAAAUUCUAAGACAAUACCAAAAUUUCUAAAGUAAUAGAUAGAAAUUGUGAUAUACCAAAAUUUCUAAGAUAGUAUACCAAAGAUAUUACGUUAUAUGCCACAAUUUUAAGGGAAUACCAAUAUUUCUAAGCAAUCUCAUUAGAAAUUUUGGUAUGUACCACAAUUUCAAAGUAAAUAUCAAUAUUUCUAAGGAACCUCAUUAGAAAUUUUAGUAUACCAAAAUCAUGUUGCACAAGUCUAUACCAAGAUUUUAAAUGAAAUGCUAAAAUUUUUAAGUGCAUAUCUUUAGAUAUUUUGGUAUACCCAAAUCGCGUUAUAGAAGCUUUUACCAAAAUUUCUAAGAGAAUAGUAAUAUUUCUAAGGAACCUUGCUAGAAAUUUUGGUAUAUCAAAAUCAUGUUACACAAGCCUAUACCAAGAUUUUCUAGUGAAAUACCAAAACUUCUAUAAGCACAUAUCUUUAGAUAUUUUAGUAUAUGCUUCAAUUUCUAAGGGUACCAAUAUUUCUAUGGAACUUUAUCAAAAAUUUUGGUAUGCCAAAAUCAUUUUACACAAGAUUUUACCAAAAUUUCUUAGAGCUUAACCUUAGAUAUUUUGGUAUGUAGCGCAAUUCUUAAGGGAAUAUCAAUAUUUCUAAACAACCUCGUUAGAAAUUUUGGAAUACUAAAAUUAUGUUACACAAGCCUAUAUUAAUAUCUUUAAUAAAAUACUGAAGUUUUUAAGAGCUUAUCCUUAGAUGUUUUGAUAUAUACCACUUUUUGUAAGGGAAUACCAAUAUUUCUAUGGAACCCUGUUAAAAAUUUUAGUAUACCAAAAUCCAAAUUUACAAACUUAUAUCAAGAAUUCUAACAAAAUACCAAUAUUUCUAAUAGCAUAUCCUUAAAUAAUUUGAUAUAUUCCAAAAUUUAUAAUGGAAGACCAAAAUUUCUAUAACUUUCAAUGAACUACAGUUCUUGGUAAAUCUAUAUACCUAUAUAUAUAUAUAUAUAUAUAUAUAUAUAUAUAUGAAAGGAAAAACAUCCUCCUUUUCUUGAUAGAUGGCACACCUAAAAUCAAUGGCGGACGUUAUAGAUGGCACACCUACAAUCAAUGGCGGAGUCAAGUAAAGGCUUAGGGACCAUGACCUCCCAAAGUUUAAAUUUUUUUUAUUUAGUCCUUUGUAAAUAUACUAUGGCCCUUCCUAAAAUAUAAGUAGAUCCUCCUAAAGUUUAAGAUUUUUGCAAUUUCCCCCUUUAUAUAUAUUAUGGUUCUCCUAAAAAUAUAAAUACUCCCCUCCAAUAUUUUUAUAGUAUUAAAAAUAAAAUUAAAAAAAUUUAUUCUUGAUAAAAACAAAGAAAAAUCUUCUUGAAGAUGCUAAAUUACUCAUGAUGACUUUUGAAUGAUAUUUUUGUUAAAAAAUAAUAAAUCAAUUGUUAUAUUGAAAUACUUCUUCUUUUGAAUUGAUUGUUUAUAUGUUUAAAUCGAUUGUUACGUAACACGUCUAAUUUUAGCAUGAUCCCCUCCAAAAUUAACAUCUUGGCUCCGCCACUGCCUACAAUACUCCUUUUAUUUUGUAUUCAAUAAAAAAAGUUAAAUUUCAAAUUCGGUUCAUCUAAUAUGCCUAAACUUGAGAUUUAAUAUAUAUACUUUCAUUUCUAACAUAAUUUGGUUUCUAUAUAUUGUUAUAAUAUUAUUAAUCAGUUCAAAUAGUUAAUAUUAUUCACUUUUCUAUUAAAAUAUUAUAUGGUUAUAUAUAAUUUGAAUACCUUAAUAGUCUUGGAGGCUAACAUACAGCUUCUUGUUUCAUUUAAGUUCGUGUCAUUUUUUUAACAUUAUAAGAUAAUGGUCAAAUUUUAUUUUUGGCCUCUAGACUAUGUUAAAACUUGAGAUUAAUCUAUAUACUUUAAUAUUUUACAUAAUUUGAGCUAUCUACUUUUAUAAUGUCAUUAGCUGGUCUAAAUAAUUAAUAUUAUUAACUAUUUUAAUUAAAAUGUUGGGUAAAUUUUUCUUAAGAACAUUAUUUCAAGAAGAAAAAAAUUAUUUUAUCGAAUUUAAAUGAGUGUUUUAAGAGAAACUCCUAAUCAAUAUUUUUAACAUUAUUUUUAUUGUUACAUGACUAUUAAGGGAAUCUUUUUAUUUUAAAAUGUCCACCAGAGAAUUUAAUAUAAUAAUUUUAUCGAUGGUAACAAUUGAGCUAAAAUUUUUAAUUUGAAAAGUAGAUAAUUAUGUUCUUAAAAAUAAAAGUAAGACUAAAUUUCAAAUGUACAAAGUGUAUCAGGUCUUAGAGUAUAUUUUAAAAUUAUUUUAUUAAAUUCAUGUUCGUUAUAAUAUUAUAUUUCAAAAUCUCAAUAGUAGAAGAAUUAAAUUCUUAAAAAUAAAAAGCAUAAGAACUAAAUUUGAAAUUUAUGAAGAGUACAAUGAUUUAUGACAUAUAUAAACCUAUGUAUAAUAAAAGAAAGGAAAAAACAAAAAUACCAAAUAAAUACCAACAAGUGUUAAGGACAACAGAUUGCAUUCUCAAAAGGAGACACAAGUUUAAAUUUUGAACACAAUAUAGUUAGGAGAAGCGGCCAUAAACCCAAACACAAACAGUAAAAGGGACAUUUAAAAUACCAAAAAAUUUACAAAAUAAAUAAAAAAAAACUACAAAGGGAAGUUUAUGCUGCAAGAGAUGAAACGCUGUGGACCAACUAAUUUUUACUCGUCAACUAAUUGGGUAUAGAUCCUUUGUUCCAUAUUCAUCAUCUACCAUUGUAAGAUAUGGCUUCCAAGGCCUCCCUGACGGUAUCAGAGUAAUUCUGUGCCUCUCUAAUGAAAUUAAUUGAUGACGGUUGGCCGGCUCGAAACACAACCUCAUUUCUCAUUUUCCGGAUAAUAAACAGACACCCAAAAGUUAAGACUGUAUCCUGAUCACUGAAGACAACCAGUGAGAGAUAUUAUACCGUGACAAUAAAUGGGAUGUACAUCUAAGCUAGACACAAGGAGAUAUGUCUCCUUAGUACUUUCUACCAUUGGAGAUAGCAACUUUACCCCCAAAUAUCAGACUAUCGUUACGUUUUCUCUAUGAAGAAGCCUUGGACACAUCCUUAGUUGACCUAUUGUACUUCAUAUGGCUCUUAACUAAUUGUCCUGCUGCAAUUGCAGACAUAAGCGACAGCUCCCCUGCAAGAACAGCAGACGCUACAAUGGUUGCCAGCGUCCUAGAGUUUGCUCCUGGUGUCUCUUUGCUUGCACCCUUCACUCCAAGUAAGUUCAAACAGGCUGAUUGAGAUGCAAGCUGAGUUCCACCACCAACAGUCCCAACCUAAAAGAUACAGCAACACAGAUUAUUAGAGACUAACAUAAAUACCCAGAUUUUGUUUUGGCAACGAAAGUCCUUGCGUUGGAUAAUCAGACAGCAACACUAUCAAUUACCUCGAUGGAAGGCAUUGUGACAGAGACGUGGAGGUCCUUUCCAUCAUUAACAGCUUCCAUCAUCGUGAUGCAAUGCGAGCUCUCGACAUUUUGAGCCGGAUCUUGGCCGGUAGCUAUGUAGAUUGCAGCAACGAUGUUACUGGCGUGAGCGUUGAAUCCACCCAGAGCUCCAGCCAUAGCUGAUCCAGUAAGGUUCUUAAGCAUGUUAAGCUCAACGAGAGAUUCCACACUUGUCUUCAAGACCUUCCUAACCACAUCACCCUUAAUGGUGGCUUCACAGACAACAGAUUUGCCUCGUCCUUCAAUCCAAUUUACCGCAGCCGGUUUUUUGUCGGAACAAUAGUUUCCUAUAUGCGCAAAUUCAUAAAUAUCAGUGAUCCUAUGUCGGAACAGUAAAAGACAUAAUUACAAGCCUAUACAAAAAACUGAAACUCACCAGAGAUGCCAAUGACAUCCAUGUCAGGGAAAUCAGUUUGAAGGAAAUCCAAAACGUUUUGCACUCCCUUGGAAACCAUGUUCAUCCCCAUAGCAUCACCUGUACUGCAAGUGAAUCUAAUAUACAGAUUCUUUCCAGCAAUUGCACAUUUGAUACCUUGGAGCCUGCCAAAUCUACUUGAUCUGCAACCACCAAAAAGCCAAAAUUUUCAAUAUUAGCUUGAAUUUUAAAUCCAUCAAUAUGGAGUUCUAGAAAUAUCAACACAAACCUGUUGAAAACAACAGACAAGGUCUCGAAAUUAUCAGGGUCCUCCAAAUACAACUUCAAAUCAGCUGCCCUUUUCGCAGUACCGAACCUUACACAUGGAGCUCUAGUCAUACCAUCUUUCAAUAGAACACUUGUAGCUCCACCAGACAAAUGAAUAGCCUUACAGCCCCUAUUAGUGCUAGCCACCAAGCACCCUUCCGUGGUUGCCAUAGGAACCGAGUACUCUCUUCCAUUAACCAACAAAGGCCCGGAAAUUCCAACGGGAAUUUGCACGUAGCCAACCGGCAUCUCACAACACUGCCCCAAAAUCGACUCGUAAUCAAACCCAUCCAAGGGCAAUCCUGAUAACGACUUCCCUAUUAAUCUUUGCAACGCUUCCCGCCUGAUUGCCGCCGCCCUCUUGCAAUCACCCAAUUUCGAUUCCAAGGAAUACGAAGGGGUUGUACCAGCCACUACAGAUUUAAUUAUUUCUUCAUCUUCCUCCGUUAGUACCGUCACAGGCUUUUCAUCGACCACCUUCUGAACGGUCACGAUUGGUGCCACAGGAGGCAGAGGUGGAAGCGAACAAUCGAGAGCUUGCCCGCAAGGGACCUUACGGGCAUCUUCCUUUGCAAGCAGAACUUCAUCAUCCUCUUCCUCGGCAAUCCAAACGUCAGGCGAUGAUUGGAAAACCAAAGAUUGAACGAAGUCAAUCCCAAAGAAACCCAAAAGGUAAAUAAAGGACGCGAGAAAUGAGAGAAUGGCGAUGAUGUCGGAAAAGGUGACGACAUGGAGAGGUGUGGAGGUACGUAUCUUCUCACGCCAACGGGAUAGAAGAAAAUAAACCACCGAGAAGAAGAGGGUGAAGAACAGGGCAUUGGUUAGGUACAAGGGAAGCGGCAAAGCGUCGGAGGCUUUACCGGUAUCUUCCUCUAAAGGAAUCUUCUUCGUUGGCUUGAGAGAUUGAACAGGUUUAGUCGAAUACAGCCGGGGAGCCUCCAUAUUGGGUGUCGACGUCGCGGAAGCCCGGCAGUGGAGAAGGAGAAUAGAAGAGGAGUGGAAGUGAGAGAGGAUUUCAGUUAGUUUUACGAUUAUGGUGAAGGUGGAGUUGGAGAUGCUGGAGUUUAGGGAGGGAAGGGGAGUAUUUAUAGGACAGAGAGUAAAGAGUGGUGGAGAGUGAGGAAAAAGGCGCGUGAAGUGAAGUGUUGGGCCUGUGUGAGUGGGAAGUCAAAGAAAGAAUUUGAAGGGCAGUGUUUGCGUGCAGUGCAUGUGAAUGGGGGCGCAUUGCAUUUUCCUUUCGUUUGGUCUUAUCUCCGUUAACUGCUAUUUUGUAUCUCUUUUAAUUAUUCCUUAUUUUGGGCAUUCAUUAAUUAAUAUGAGACCAUAUUUAAACUUUUGAUGAGUAGUGAUAAAUAUAUAUAAUCUCGAAUAUAAGUCGUAAAAUUAACAUUAAAUAAAUAAAUAUAUAUAAUAUAUGUGAUAAAAUUUAUCAUUAGUAAUAUAGAUAAAAAUUACAAUGGAAUUUAAUUACUUCCUCGAUAUUUACAUAUUAUUCGUUUUGUAAUUUUUUAUACAAUGUUUAAAAUUAUAUAUAGCUUCUCUUAAAGGAUAAUGCGAAUUCACAUCUUCCUGCACUUACUGAAUUAGGACUCAAUCGAUAACAAUCUUACAAUUUUUAUUUUAUAUAAAAAGAAGAGCUUCCAUUUUUUAUUAAAAAAUUACAGAUACAAUUAUAUUCUACAAUUGUGUUUAUUUUGAACAAAUGAAUUAUAUAUUCAUAUGGAUGUUAACUUAAAUACAUUUUAGGGUAAAUAUUUAUAAAAAUUAAUUUUUUAAACUGGUAUGAUGAUUAACUAUUUAUAUUUAGGGUUUUGCACAGUUUUGCAUACGAUGGUGUUUUAAAUCCUGUGAAAAUCUUUCAUUGGAGAAGGGAGAAAUCUAAAACUGGCAUUCAGUCUAUGACAUGAAAUUCAAAAUAGGAUGCCUGCUUUAUUAUUAUAAAUAUUGGUUCAUGCCGUCACCAUUAUUAUUAUAAUUUAAUUUAUCUUUUAAUGGAAAUGUAAAAAAAAUAAACUAUUAAAAUAGUCACUUUUGUUUACCUUAGAUUACAUUUUAGUUAUGUUUUAGUUACUUGCAUGAACAUGUUGUAACAUUUUAGUCACUGAACGGUUAAGUAUCAUUAAUAGUAUAAUGGUAAGCUAAUGUGGCAUGUUAAAUCAUCAUUUCAAACAAAAAAAUUCAGGUUAAAUUAUACAAUUGGUCCAAUAUUUCUUUGUUUUGAACAAUUUAAUUUUUUUUUAUUUUCCAUUCUCUUUUAUUUCUCUCUUUGUUUUCCUCCCUUUUCCAUUUUUUUAACUUAAUUUUUCUAUGUUUUCUAUUUAUUAAAACUAGUCCCUAUACUUUUAUUUUUUUGAACAUUUUAAUUUUUUUAAUUUUCCUUUUCUUCUUCUCCUUUAGUUUUAACAAAUGAAAAAUAUAGAAAAAUUACAUUAAAAGAGAUAGAAAAGAGAGAAAAACAGAGGACGAAGUAGAAGAGAAAGAAAAAUAAAGAAAUUAAAAUGCUCAAAAUGAAAAUAAUAUGGGGACCAAUUAUAUAAUUUAACCUAAAAUUUUUGUUUGAAAUGAUGAUUUAAUGUGCCACAUCAGCUUACCGUUACAUCGUUAACGGCUUAGUGACUAAAAUGUUACAACACGUUAAUAUAAAUGACUAAAAUGUAACAUUUCAAACAUAACUGACUAAAAUAUAAACUGAAACAAACAAAAGUGACUAUUUUGAUUGUUUCCCUUUAAUAAAUGGUUCAUUACAGUAAUAUAUUAAAUUUAUUCUUAUUUUGUAUUAUUUUUCACAUGUGUAAUAUUCUGAUUAUUUUUUAAUGUUUAAUGUACUAACGUUUAAAUUUAUUCCAUCAUAGCCCAAGAAAAAUAAUAAGAAAUAGACGAUAAGAUUGAAGUAAUAUUUUUUCCAAAAUAACAAGCAUGCAUUCAUGCAUGAGAAUUAUUCAUCACCAUGUGCUAAAGACUUGGACUGUUUGUCAAAGUUUUCUUCAGAAAAAUCAUAUAAAUUUAUAAUGGAAGUAUAUAUAUAUAUAUAUAAGCAGAGUCAGACCAACCAAAGAAGAAAAAAAUUAACAUGAUAUCAUCUUUUUUUAUUGCCCACUAUUUAUCUAGCAAAUUUUGACUGUAAUAUUGUCAUGGUUAGACCAUAUUAUUUUUGCACAAGUGACGCACGAAUAUUAAGUGUAGACUUGCUCAAAACAGUAGGAAAUGAUGAACAAGGUCAUUUCGUAGAAAUUGCAGUCAAUGCUCAUAUUUUGGCUUAAUCCAGCUGGAGUUUAGGUAAAAAUUGAUUCAAAAUUGGAUAAAUAUAUAUAUAAUAUUGAUAUCAUAAAUAAGUUAUUUGAAUCCAAGUCAGUUCAAUCCAUGAAUACCUUUAAUAUGUAUACAUGAUAUGAUAUGUGAAAAAUGAGCUCAACUCAUGAAUAUUUCUAAUAUGUAUGCAUGCUUGAUGCAUGAUAUGUGGAAAAUAACUUAACUUGUUGUAUAGGUUUUGUACGGAGUAUGGACGGCAUUUAUAAGUUCAUUUUUGGAACUUGUAUUUUAGAGUGCAUUUGAGAACGUAAAUAAGUUUGUUGAAGUUUUCAGGGGGAGAAUUUAGAGGUGAGUAAUCUAGAUCUUUUGGUACAAAGUGAGGUUGCUCUAGCAGGAUGUGAUAAGACUUGAAUCAUUUCGUGUAUAGGGUUAAAAGAUAGUGGAUUUACUUACUAAGUUAGGCUUCACAAAUAAAGUAAACUAAACUACGUAAACAACCUUUUGUAUUCUUAUUUUGUUGUUUUUGUCGCAAUGCUACCUUCAAUUGGCAUAUCGCAAUUGAAGAAGCAGAAGUUUGUCUGGAAGAAGAAAGAUCCUAAGUGCUUGAUGUAUAGUGUUUCGGUAAUGGUUGCUUUCGUCACAUGAUAGGUAAUCAUGCAUACUUUUCUAAUUUUGGAGAUCAUCAUAAGGGUCUAGUCACAUUUGGUGAUGGUAAGAAAUGUCAUAUCCAUGGAAACGGAACACUUAAUGUCCUUGGAAUGCUAAAGUUGAAGAAUGUGUUGAAAGGUCAUAUUGUUAAUGACUUGAAAGCUAAUUUGGUGAGCAUUAUCCAAAUGUGUGACUAAGGCAUGAUUAUCAAUUUCACCAAAGACAAGUAUCUGGUUUCAUCAAAGUCUUAUGAGAAGACUAAUGUUUCUAACUUAGAGUUGUGGCAUGAGAAACUUAGCCACAAUCAUUACAAAGGGCUCCGAAGAUUGGUUUGAUAUGUUGCUGGAAUAGGCAACCCAAAACUAGGUGGUGUCAUUCCUAAAGUCCGUUAUGGAUGCUUGAAAGUUAGAGAGGAUCACAUGGAGAAUCAUCAAAGGUUGUCACAUAUCCAAAUUAUUGCAUCUCUCAAGUUACUACACAUAGAUCUCAUUGGACCUAUGUGAAUCGAGAGCAUUGGAGUAAACCGUUAUGUCCUGGUCUAUGUAGAGGACUUUUCAAGGUACACAUGGGUGAGAUUUUUUAGAGAAGUCUAACACAUCUAAAGAAUUCAGGAAACUAAGCAGAAAAUUUUGUCAAUUUUUAUGACGAGGAAAUGAUCAAAAAUGAAUAUUCUACUACUAAGGCACCACAAUAUAAUGGAGUUAUGGGACACAAGAACCGUACCAUAUAGGAGAUGGCAUGAGUGUUGCUUAACAACAAAAGAGUUACUCAUAAGUUUUAAGUUGAGGCAGUGAACAUUGCAACCUAUAUCUUUAACAAAGUUCUUACUAGGCGAAAAACUCACAUGACACUUUUGUAAGAUGUGAAAUGGGAGGAAACCAAAUGUCAAGUAUUUCCAUGUGUUUAGAAGUACCUUGAUAGGUGUCGAAUCCACCAAAAAUGAAAUCCUACCCCUAAACAGGAUAUAAAUUAGAAGUUUAAGGAGUAAGGUCGAUCCCACAAUGAUUAAUUUAUAUGAACUUGUAGUUUGUUAUAACCAGGACGUAUCGUAAGCAGUUUUGUGCCCAUGAUUUAUGCUAACCUAUACAAAAUAGAAAGAAGGAUUAAAUAUGAAUGUAACUAAAUGUCAAAAAUUAAAUAAUAAUAAUGCAAUAGAAAUAAUCAAAUCAGAAUUAAAAUUGAAUAACCUAAUAAGAUGGAUUUUGACUCUGGCUUUGGAUUGAUCCCAAACAAUGGAUUUUUUCCUCCAAUUGAUAAGUCGGGUAUAGUGAUCAAGGAACAACCUCAAAUACCAACCCUUUCGUAUGUAAAUUAACUGCGGGAACAACUCUAAGUUAACCCUUACCAGGUAAAUAACACUGAAAGCAACUUCCAUGAUUUCAUUCCUUGACAACCUUGCGAACUAGAGGGACUCAGCUCAAAUUGACAGCCUCAAUUGCAUGGGUCCACACGCCUACUACCUUUUCCAUCUUUGAUUUUCCAAGUUCUUUUGAAGCAAAAUCCAAGGUUUGUUUGAGCCACAGAGCAUCUUGAAAGAGAAGUUGCUAAGUUGAAAUUCUCUCCAAAAUGGCUCGAGGGAAAACAUGAAUCAAUAGCCCCAACUGAUCUAACUGAAGGAGAAGAAAAAGUUGAAUCUGACCUUGAAACUGUACCAAUUGCUCCUAUAGUGACUAUUUCAGCAGGUCUUGUGAGCAACCUAGCAGGAUUCAAUCAAAGGAUGGUUAGCAUUUUACUGCUUCUAUUGACUCUCAAAAUUGAUUCAUCUCCAAACUUCGAACUGAAAUCCAAGUCAUUCAACAGAUUCGAGAUCAAGAAAUUGCUUUCCGCAAUGAUUUAUUAACUCAUUCCGAACAAUAAUGUUUGACAUAUUUUUAACAAAAAGGGAAGUAAAGAGGAAGGAGAUGAUGGCUAAGAUGGUGGCAAGUUGAUUGCUCCUACUAAUGGGAGUUUAUUUUACUUUUGGUUAUUACAAGCUUCAUUUCAUUUUGGGUAUUUCUUUUGAAAUAUUUGUAAUGAUGAACUUUUCUAAUGGAUGGAUGGAUUUUAUUUUGGUGUACAAACUCUUAUCUUCAUCUUACUUGGAUACAAAUACUUAAAAAGCAUUAAUGGUUGAUUUACUUGAUUAUGUUUUAAGUUAAGUGUGACGGACAAGGGGAUUGUACUAAGGGGAAGCAUUUUUUGUUACUGUUGAUAAGCUUCCUAAUUUGAAUUGGUUUUGUUCAAAAAAUUGUUAAGAGAAAAAAUUGUAGAAGCAAGUGGCCAUCAAAGUGCCAACGGUAGUGGUAGUGGCCACUAUAGAUAGCAUUGCAAUAGACCCUAUUACUAGCCAUGUUUAGAGUUAGCAAUUUUUGAAACAAAAUAUUUGGCUUGAAAACGAUGAUGAUAUUAUGAAAAUAUGAAAGUCCAUAUUAUAUUAGUUUUUAUUAUUUAUUGUAUUUUGCUAGUUUAGCUGGGGCUACAUUAUAAUUUUAAGUAUGUUGAUAUUAGGAAAGCUUUUUAACUAUGUUGGUGACACGUUCAAUAAAUAUAAUUUUAAAGGUAUUUUUGUUUUUUUAACUGCAAACUGUUUGGGUAAAUUUAUUUCAAAAGUUGCUUUCAAAUGCUUUAAAAGUUACGGUGUAUUUUACACUAUUCUCAGGUCACAUGGCCUGAACUUGUCUUUAAAAGAAAGGAAAGAACAAAAUACAAAAUGAAUAAAGAAAAAUCUUUCUGUUCUGUAUAAUCUAUCUACUCCCAUUUACCCGUGGGGUGGGGUUCUUCCGUUCAAUUUCAAUGGCAUUGAUAGAGGGCAGCUUCCACAAGAUGAGUUUAAUCAUUGCCAACUAAUCGUGAAUAACCAAUAUUAAUAAAUAAUCUCCAUUCUUCUCAACCGCCAUAACUGCUCCAUCAACCUGCUAUGUCGGGUGAAAUGGGAACGUACACCACACAAAGGGAUAUAUCUCCUUAGUAAGUUUCUACCAUGGGAGAUUGCCACUUUACCCCCAAAUAUCAGGCCAUCAUUACGUUUUCUCUAUGAAGAAGCCUUGGACACAUCCUUACUUGAUCUAUUGUACUUCAUAUGGCUCUUAACUAGUUGCCCUGCUGCAAGUGCUGACAUGAGUGACAGCUCCCCGGCAAGGACAGCACCUGCUACAAUGGUUGCCAGCAUUCUAGAGUUUGCUCCUGGUGUCUCUUUGCUUGCACCCUUCACUCCAAGUAAGUUCAAACAGGCUGACUGAGAUGCAAGCUGUGUUCCACCACCAACGGUACCAACCUAAAAGAUACAGCAACAGAUAUAAUUAGGGGGAUUCAUAAAUACCCAGAUUCUGUUUUGGUAAUGAAAAUCCUUGUGAUGGAUAAUCAGACAGCAACAUAAUCAAUUACCUCGAUGGAAGGCAUUGUGACAGAGAUGUGGAGGUCCUUGCCCUCGUUAACAGCUUCCAUCAUAGUGAUGCAAUGAGAGCUCUCAACAUUUUGAGCCGGAUCUUGGCCCGUAGCUAUGUAGAUUGCAGUGACGAUGUUACUGGCGUGAGCAUUGAAUCCACCCAGAGCUCCAGCCAUAGCUGAUCCAGUAAGGUUCUUGAGCAUGUUAAGCUCAACGAGAGAUUCCACACUUGUCUUCAAGACCUUCCUAACCACAUCACCCUUAAUGAUGGCUUCGCAAACAACAGAUUUGCCUCGUCCUUCAAUCCAAUUUACAGCCGCUGGUUUUUUGUCGGAACAAAAGUUUCCUAUAUGGACAAAUUCAUAAAUUUCAGUAAUCCUAUAUAGAACAGUAAAAACAUAGAACACAAUUACAAGUCUAUGGAAAAGUGAAACUCACCAGAGAUGCCAAUGACAUCCAUGUCAGGGAAAUCAGUUUGAAGGAAAUCCAAAACAUUUUGGACUCCCUUGGAAACCAUGUUCAUCCCCAUAGCAUCACCUGUACUGCAAGUGAAUCUAAUAUACAGAUUCUUUCCAGCAAUUGCACAUUUGAUACCUUGGAGCCUGCCAAACCUACUUGAUCUGCAACCACCAAAAAGCCAAAAUUUUCAAUAUUAGCUUGAAUUUUAAAUCCAUCAAUAUGGAGUUCUAGAAAUAUCAACACAAACCUGUUGAAAACAACAGACAAGGUCUCGAAAUUAUCAGGGUCCUCCAAAUACAACUUCAAAUCAGCUGCCCUUUUCGCAGUACCGAACCUUACACAUGGAGCUCUAGUCAUACCAUCUUUCAAUAGAACACUUGUAGCUCCACCAGACAAAUGAAUAGCCUUACAGCCCCUAUUAGUGCUAGCCACCAAGCACCCUUCCGUGGUUGCCAUAGGAACCGAGUACUCUCUUCCAUUAACCAACAAAGGCCCAGCAAUUCCAACGGGAAUCUGCACGUAGCCAACCGGCAUCUCACAACACUGCCCUAAAAUCGACUCGUAAUCAAACCCAUCCAAGGGCAAUCCUGAUAACGACUUCCCUGUUAAUCUUUGCAACGCUUCCCGCCUGAUUGCAGCCGCCCUCUUGCAAUCACCCAAUUUCGAUUCCAAGGAAUACGAAGGGGUUGUUCCAGCCACUACAGAUUUAAUUAUUUCUUCAUCUUCCUCCGUUGUAACCGUCACAGGCUUUUCAUCGAACACCUUCUGAACCGUCACGAUUGGUGCCGCAGGAGGCAGAGGUGGAAGCGAGCAAUCGAGAGCUUGUCCACAAGGGACCAUACGGGCGUCUUCCUUUGCGAGCAGAACUUCAUUAUCCUCUUCCUCGUCCUCGGCAAUCCAAACGUCAGGCGAUGGUUGGAAAACCAAAGAUUGAACAAAGUCAAUCCCAAAGAAACCCAAAAGGUAAAUAAAGGACGCUAAAAAUGAGAGAAUGGCGAUGAUCUCGGAAAAGGUGACGACAUGGAGAGGUGUGGAGGUACGGAUCUUCUCACGCCAACGGGAAAGAAGAAAAUAAACCACCGAGAAGAAGAGGGUGAAGAACAGGGCAUUCGUUAGGUGCAAGGGAAGCGGCAAUGCGUCGGAGGCUUUACCGUGAUCUUCCUCUAAAGGAAUCUUCUUCGAUGGCUUGAGAGAUUGAGCAGGUUUAGUCGAAUACAGCCGAGGAGCCUCCAUAUUGGGUGUCGACGGCGGCAGAAGCCCGGCAGUGGAGAAGAAGAAUAGAAGAGUAAUGGAAGUGAGAGAGGAUUUCAGUUAGGUUUACGAUUAUGGGGGAAGGUGGAGCUUGAGAUGCUGGAGUUUAGGGAGGGAAGGGGAGUAUUUAUAGGAUAGAGAGUAAAGUGUAGAGAGAGCGUGAGGAAAAAGGCGCGUGAAUUGAAGUGUUUGGCACUUGUUAGUGCGGAGCUUUACCAAGUGAAGAGUCAAUGGAAGAAUUUCAAGGGAUGUGUUUGGAAGCGUGCACGUGUGCAUGUGCAUGGUGGGGCAUUGCAUAAUCCUUUCAUUUGUUCUUUUCUCCUGCCAAAUUUGGAGAAAAUGCUGAUUUUAAAAAAAUAUUCAGGAAAAUAUUUUUUUUCCAAUAUUUAAAAAAAUAAGUUGAUUUUGAAAAAAAUAAUAAAGCAUAUUUUGCAGAAAUUGUUUUUUUUUUUUGCUGAAAAAGCUCGUAGGAUUAGUUUCUACUUUUUUAAUACAUUAGCUCAUUUGAUUAGAUGAUUAAAUGGUAAUUAUUUUGUCUUUAAGUCUCAAAUUUGAUUAUUUUCUUACUCACAUUUGUAUUUUUAUUUCAAGUCGUUUCAAGCUUUGCUUUUAUUUUUAAUUAUGGUUUUUAACACAUUAACUCCUUUUGUUAGAUUGUUAAAUAAUAGUGAUUUUUUUUGUGAAAGAAAGGAAACAAUACAAGCUAAAUCCUCAAAGGACGGUCCACAAACAAUCUUAAGCCUAGACUUCUAAUGCAAACAAUCUUGGCUAGGCUAUCUGCAAUUAGAUUACUUCCUUUGGGAACAUGCUGAAUUUUCUACUGCUCUAGCUUUUUAAGCGUCUGAUGAAUUAUCCUAAUGAUGGUAGAAUUGGAGAUGCCCGUAUCAUCUUCCAUGAUAGCUUUAAUAGCUUCAAUACUAUCAGUUUGAAUAAGGACAUUUUGGUAACACCUAUCUGCCAUAAGAUUCAGCCCAUCCAAAAUCCCUCAGAGCUCUGCCUCCAAAACUAAACAAUUACCCAAAUAUCUCUCGAACCCUAUAAUCCACUCUCCCUUGUGAUCUCUCACGCAACCUCCCGCAGCUGCAAAGCCCUCGUCAAUCCUAACCGAACCAUCAGUGUUCAAAUAAACUCAACUGUUGGACAUAGGCCAAUUAGGUAGAGUUCUUUGGGCUUCAAACUUUGAGAUCGAGGAAUACUGCUUAGCAACUAAAGGAGAUUUUAAUAAUUUCCUCAACACUCCACAAAAUCCCUUGGAAAACAAAUAUGUUGCGAUUCUUCCAAAUACGACACGCAAUAAUUCCAAAAAGGUAGGACCAAUCGAUUCCCCCUGUCGAAGAAGUCAAUUGGUUCUGCAAAUUAGUCGCCAUCCAAUCAAAUAAAGAGCCUGAGUAAAAACUAAAAAAAAUUUGUUGAGGAAUGAUUUUAUCUUAGACUCCUUUGGCUGCAUGACAAUCUCUGGGUAUAUGUAUCACAUCCUCCAAAAUAUGACCACAAAUAUUGCAAUUGCGGCUACUCCCACAACCUCAUCUUACUCUUUCAACAUUUGUAAGCAGCUUUUGCUUUAAGACAAGCCAAAUAAAGAAGCGGAUUCAAUGAGGGCCUUUAAAUUUCCAAGGUAUCCUCCAAAAUGCUUCAUUGGGAUUCAAAGUGCCUUCACGAACCUUCCCAUAUGCACUCUUGAGAGAGAGAAGGUGCCGGUCGAGGUGGCUCCCCAAAUAAGUCCUAGCUUCGAUUUCUCUUUUAAGCACAUUUGUAUUUUUUUUUUCACAUUGUUUCAAAUUUUUCUUAAUUCAUCUUUUUAAUUAAUAAUUCUUUUAUUUAUAAAAUCAAAUAAUUAUUUUAAAUUAUAUAAUAAAAAAUAUAUUUUGAUAAAAUGAUAUUUUUCAUUAUGUUAAAUAUAAUUUAUUUUUAAAAAAAAUCAACUUUUUGUUAUAUUUUUCUUUAUGUAAAAUAUUUAGGUUCUCCACGUGGAUAUGGUGAUUACUUAUAUUAUAAAAUCAAAUAAUUAUUUCAAAAUAUCAUUAUUAUUUUUAUACGUAAAAUAUUUUAAAUAUCAUUAUUUUUCAUGUACAUUGUAGGUAUGAUAUUGCAAAUAUUUUUAUACGUGAAAUAUUUCAAUUAAUUAUUUCAAAUUACAUUAUGUUUAUAUGUGAAAUAUUUCAAUUAAUCAUUUCAAAUUACAUUAUGUUUAUAUGUUAAAUAUUUCAAAAAGACGUACAAAAAUAUAUAAUACUAAAAUUUAAUACGUUCAUGAUAUGGAUUGAAAAAUAAAAAUUACACAUAAUAUUUAUAUUUAUUAAAGAUAAUGAUAUUUGGAAAUAAUCAUUUUAUUUUUAAAUAAAAUAAUUAUUAAUUAAAAAGAUAAAAAAACUUGAAAACAAUAUAUUUAUUAAUUAAAAAUUAAAAAAAUUGAAACAACAUGAAAUAAAAAAAAGUACAAAUUUGCUUAGAAUAGGAUCAAACCUAGGACUCAAUGAUAAAAUCACUAUUAUUUAACCAUCUAACCAAAUAAAUUAAUGUGAGUAGGAGAAGAAUCUAACCCGAGACUCAAGGACAAAACCAUUAAUAUUUAACUAUCUGACUAAAGGAAUUGAUAUAUUAAAAGAGUUAGAAAACACGCACGGUAAGAUGCAUUAUUUUAUUUGUCUCUCCAAAUUUAAAACCUUCUAUCAAUCAGCUGCUAUUUUGAUGUUUUCUGUCACUUAUUUAGCAUUAUUCUGCCUUUUACUUAUUCCUAAUUUUGGAUUGUUUUUCAUUAAUUAAUUAAUUAAUUAGAGAUCAUAUUAUGAAUGUAUUUAAUAUUUAUGGAAGUAAUGUUAAAAAGAAAUCUGGAGGUUUUUCUUUUUGCUCUUGAUUAAUUGGAUAAGUUUACAUUUUUACAAAAAAAAUAUAUUAAGACAAAGUCAGAGUGAAAAAAUAAUUAAGCAAGAAAAAUUCAGAAAAAUAAAUUGACUCUUCAAUUAAAAAAAUGUAAAGCUUUAUUUGUUUCAUUAUUGAAAAAAAAUGUCAUUCUCAAUUCAAAUUAUUAUUAUUAUUGCAUGUUUAUUUCAUGUUAUAUUUUAACAAAAUAAAAGAAAAAAAAUUGACCAAUCUGAAUUCAAAAUAUAAAUAAAUAAUUUAUAUACUUUUUUAUAAAGAUUACAGUCCAAAUUUGACAUUUAUAAUAUUUUAAUAUACUCAAAUUAUGACAUGUUUUGUAUUAAAUAAAAUCUAAUUAUCACGUUUCUUCCUUUCUUAAUUUUCAGUCAGUCAAUCACAUUAAAUUCAAUUAUCAUUGAGUGUGUUUUGUAUUAUAUAUAUAAAUUGGUAAUGCUGAUUGAGAAAAGACUUUUAAGAGGCUUUAAUAUCAUUGAGUUAUUAAGGUUAAAGGCUUAACACAUAUGUGUUGUCAUCACUUGCUUGACUUAGUUUGUGUUUACUACAUGUAUUGUGUGUUUGGCUGUUGCAGAGUAUCCUCAGUGGAGGAGAAAAAUCAUCUGCUAUUUUUUAAAAUUCAUAUUACUAUUUUACUAUUUUACAUUUUUAAAGUAGAUCAUUUUUAUUUUUUUUUAGUGUUUAAUGUAUCUCCCACGAUAGUAGAAAAUAAUAUGAAAUAGACGAUAAGAUUGAAGUAAAUUUUUUUCCAAAAUAAUAAGCAUGCAUGAGAAUUAUUCAUCGCCAUGUGCUAAAGACUUGGACUGUUUGUCAAAGUUUUCUUCAAAAAAAUCAUAUAACUCACAAUGAAAGUUUAUAUAUAUAUAAGCAUAGUCAGGCCAACCAAUGUAGAAAAAAACUAACAUGAUAUCAUCUUUUGUUAUUGCCCAGUAUUUAUUUAGCAAAUAUUGACUGUAAUAUUGUCAUGAUUAGACCAUAUUAUUUUUGGACAAGAACAAGGUCAUUUCCACACAGGUAGAAGUGCAGUCCAUGCUCAUAGCCUGCUUACGCAUUUACAGAAAAAAAAAAUAUUAUAUGAUAUUGAUAUCAUAGAUAGAUGAAUCGACUUAAUUUAAGUCGGUUCAACUUAUAAAUACCUCUAAUAUGUUUAUGCAAGGAAAAUAAUAUAGCUUUUUGUAUGAGUCUUUUAAUGAAGGAUGUUGUACCUUAAUUUUAUAUAAUAAAUGUGUAUUUAUACUAUUAUUUAAGUUCUUGAUUGGGUUAGUGUCACUCUCAACCGGGUCACCAAAUUUACAAGGAAAAUUAUUGAAAUGUUCUUUCGUAAUUAAAAUAAGUUGUAUUAUUCGAAGGUAUUUUAGUCUUUUUAUUUUUAAAAAGUAAAUAAAAAUCUGUGUAUGGUGGUAUUUGAAUCCAAACUAAUUGGGUUAGAAAACUAUUUAAUUUAUCACUCAACUAAAACUUUUUAUUUUGAUAUUUUUAUAUAUUUUUAAUUUUAUUAUGCACACGUUAUUUUAAUACCGUACAUAUUUCAUGUGUUAUUAUGCUUAAUUAGUUUCAAAUCAUGUGUUUCAUUAUUUAUUAUUUGUUAUUUUUAAACACAUAUUUGUACUCUAAAUUUGUUAUUUUCAUACAUCUACGUGUGAGAUAGGGUUUCUAAUAUUUAUAAAAUAACAUAAUCCUCGAAAAGGAAACAUGCACUUCUAGGUAAGUUAAGUUUCUACCAAAUGACACAUGUUGAUAAUUGACACUUUAGGUGGUUAUUGAUGGCCUUGUAAAAUCUUUCGAUCUUAACAUUAUACAAACCAAAACCUUAGUAUUGCACAAACAAUGAUUUUAGUAUCUUUAGAAUAAUAUGAUUAUCAUAAGUUUAAAAAUAUCUGAUGCGAAAUUGAAGUUGGUCAUUAGAUUUUAUGAAGAAGAACACCCGAUAAAUUGAUUUCUCCCUCUUAACCUUUUUCCCUUAACUACACAAAUCCUAAGCAAUGAAGGCAAAAAAUUUUAUGUGUUUUGUGUGCAACUCUAAUAAGUAAAGUGGGAUUAGUUUAUAAUGAUAAACUUUUAAUCUGAUCAAGUAACCCAAUGAAAUGAUAAAAUUUAAUUUCUAUUAAAGUAAAACUUUUAGGCCCCAUGAUUUUAGAGUUAUUGGGUCCACAUAAUUGGGAUAAAAAUCUUACAUUCUCUCACUUGGCCUAAUGAGAUAAAACAUAAACUUUAAUAGAACAAUUGUUGAGUGCGCAUAAAAAUAAUAUAAACUUUGUCAUUAAAAUUUGAUUAGGUUGACCUCAUAUAAUGUGGCAGAUGAUUAAUAAAAAAUAAACAUGUUAAAUUGACAAAUUUUGAUAGAAACUGCCAACGAUAAUGUAGCGACGUAAAAAUUUUAGCUUAGCUUGGUCGCUAAUUGUGGCGAUUUAUUGAAAUUUUUUUGAAAUUUGAUGUUUGAUUUUUGAAAUAAAUAAGGAGUCGCCACCGAUCCUUUUUCCUAGGUGUGAUCGGACACCUAUUAGAUCUUUUAUUAAAACAAAUAAAAGGCUGAGUUUAGGUCUACGUUAAAAUCCAGAGAAAAUUUAGGGUUCGGGAGUCGAUUACGCACGAGGAAGGUAUUGGCACCCUCGCGACGCCCAAAAUUGGUAUCUUAUUAAACACAUGUUGUCUUGAUUUUCAAAAAUACGAAUUCAAUUUGACAUUUAAGUGUGAUCCGAUUGAAGGAAAUGAGAAGUUUCAAGUUUUUUUGUUUUUUAGAAGGACGUCCCGUUUUUAACACGAGCUGAUUAAUUUCACCCAACAUAGCGAUGAAAUCGAUGACUUAAUGUUAAAAUUGGUACAUUGCCUUAUUCUUAAAAUUAAAAUGUAAAAAGUUUUUAAAAUGAUAAUAAAAAAAAUCCAAGAAUAUUAUUGUCAAAAAAUGCGAACAAUGAUGGGAAUAAUAAAAUAUAUAAAAUAUAAAAUAUUAAAAUAUCAAAAUAUUAGAAUAAUAAUAAUUAAUAUUGACAAAUAAAAAAUAAAAUAGAAAUAAAAAAGAUGUACAUAAUAUAUAUUAGAAAUAAUAAUGAUGUUAAAAAAAAUACUAUUAAUAAUACUACAUCAAUAUGUACAUAUAUAAAAAAUAAAUACAUGAUAAUAUUAAAAAUAUGUACAUAAUAUAGUGUUAAAAAUACAUACAUAAUAUAGUUAAGAUAUAUACAUAAGAUAACAUGUAGAAAAAAAAUAUAUAUAAAUAAUAUAAUAUUAAAGAUAUAUAAAUAAAAUAGUAUAAUAUAUAUAUAUACGUAAUAUAAAAUUUAAAAUAUACCUAAUAUAUUAAAAGAAUAUAUAUAAUAUAAUAUUAAGAAAUAUAAUAAUAACAAAAAAAAGAGAGGGAGAGGGUGGGUGAUUUUUGGCCACAAGGCCGGCCAUCGUCCGGUCGCCGGACCGCCGCCGGCGCCACCGUACACGGCAGCCGGACCUCAAAAAAACUUUUUCGAUAAAAAUGGGUAAGCUUCCUCCUUUUAUUUUUUACUUUCGUAUAAAAGAAACAAAAUAAGAUUGAAAGGAAAACAAUAAGUAAACAAAGAACUUAAAAUGAGAAUAGACAAAGAAACCUCUUUUGCUUUGAUUUUUGAUUAAUCUCCAAAAAAACUAGCUUCUCCAAAAACUAGCAUUCACAAUAACUCUUCUCCUUGAUUACUUUAAAAAGAAACCUCUCCAAAAAUCUUUUACAAUAACUUUCUCUCCCAAAAACUCUCCAAAAAAAUCUUCCCCCCCUAAAACUCUCCAAAAAAAUCCCCUCCAUAUACAAAAUAUGAGAAGGCUUAUAUAGCCAUUUACAAAAUAUUUUUUUAUUGUUUAUGUCUUCAUUUGUAGGUACAAGUGGUGGUGGAGAAGGUGUGGCUAGUGGAGUUAGUGGUGGAAAAAGAGUGGCUAGUGGAGUUGGUGGUGGACAAGGUGUGGCUAGUGGAGUUGGUGGUGGAAAAGGAGUGGCUAGUUGAGAAAAGUUUAAGUUGUGGGCUAGGUUUUUUAUUUUGAUUUGGGCUUAGAAUUUGGGCCAUUGGUGUUUUGAUGUAAAUUGGGCUUUGGGUAGUUAAGAUUUUGGGUUUUGGGUUUAAUUUUGGUGGGUUAGGUAAGGCUAAAUUGGGUUUUGAUGUAAAUGGGCUAAAAUUGGCCUACAACAGCUGCCCCUCUUUGCUUAUUAUCGUGUAACGAGAAUAGAGCAAAGAUAUAAAGAAAGGCCAAUUUUGCCCGGUCUUGCUAAGUAUGGACUUCUUUGGUGCUCUUCUCAUCCAGGUAGUCUCUUUCCAGUCCAUCGCAUCUUGUAGCUUUGGUUCAAUCCACUGCAAAUUCGGAGAUAUGCCUUGUAGCUUCAAUCUGUUCCAAUGUAAUUCAGUAUGCUCUUCUAUUACUUCAGUGAGAUAAGGUUUUGGGUCUUCUCUUCUGCCACUUUAGAAAGGCAAGAUCUGAUAUCCUCGAUUAACUCCACUGCAACUUCAGAGAGACAAAAUAUGGUGUCUUCAAUCAGCUCUAAUAUUGAUUCUUUACUCGGCAUGUGAUCCUGAGCUCAACUCAUUUCUCGCAAUAUGAAUUGACUCUGUAAAACUAGACAUUAAAAACAGAAAUUGAAAAUAGCUCAGCACGUGAGCCAAGGCUCAACUCACCUCUCGCAAAAGUAGAUUUUGAAAAUACCUCGACAUGUGAACCCAAGGCUCAACUCACAUCUCGCAAUAUGAGUUGAUUUUUGAAAAACAGAAAUUUAAAAAUACCUCAGCGUGUCCUGAGGCUCAACUCACCUCUCGCAAUAUGAGUUGAUUUUUUUUUUAACAACAGAAAUUGAAAUUACCUCAGCGUGUCCUGAGGCUCAACUCACCUCUAGCAAUAUGAGUUGAUUUUUUUUACGAACAGAAAUCGAAGAACAGAAAUUGAAAAGACCUCAGCAUGUGAGCCGAGGCUCAACUCACCUCUCGCAAUAUGAGUUAAUUUUUGACAAACAGAAAUUGAAAUUACCUCAGCGUGUCCCGAGGCUCAACUCACCUCUCGCAAUAUGAGUCGAUUUUUGAAAAACAGAAAUUGAAAACCAGAAAUUGAAAAUACCUCAGCGUGUGAGCCAAGGCUCAACUCACCUCUUGCAAUAUGAGCUAAUUUUUUAUGAACAUAAAUUAAAACCACCUCAGCGUGUCCUGAGGCUCAACUCACCUCUCGCAAUAUGAGUUGAUUUUUGACAAACAAAAAUUGAAAUUACCUCAGCGUCUUGAGGCUCAACUCACUUCUCGCAAUAUGAGUUGAUUUUUUUUGAAACAUAAAUUAAAAAAACGAAAAUUGAAAAUACCUCAGCGUGUCCUGAGGCUCAACUCACCUCUCGCAAUAUGAGUUGAAAUUAAAACACAAAAAUUGAAAAUACCUCAGCGUGCCCCGAGGCUCAACUCACCUCUUGCAAUAUGAGCUGAUUUUGAAAAAGUAGAAAUUAAAAGGUUCAACCCACCUCUCGCAAUAUGAGUUGAUUCUUGACAAACAGAAAUUGAAAUUACCUCAUCGUGUCCUGAGGCUCAACUCACCUCUCGCAAUAUGAAUUGAAAAAAAUACCACAGUGUGUAAUCUGAAGCUCAACUCACCUCUCGCAAUAUGAGUUAAUUUUUUUUAAAAAACAGAAAUUGAAAAUACCUCAGCAUGUGAACCGAGGCUCAACUCACCUCUCGCAAUAUAAGUUGAUUUUUUUUUUGAAAACAGAAAUUGAAAAUACCUCAACGUGUCUUGAGGCUCAACUCAUUUCUCGCAAUAUAAGUUGAAUUUUGAAAACAGAAAUUGAAAUUACCUCAGCGUGUCCUGAGGCUCAACUCAUUUCUCGCAAUAUGAGUUGAUUUUUUUUUAACAACAGAAAUUGAAAUUACCUCAGCGUGUCCUGAGGCUCAACUCACCUCUAGCAAUAUGAGUUGAUUUUGAAAAACAAAAAUUAAAAGGCUUAACUCACCUUUCGCAAUAUGAGUCAAUUUAAAACAUAAACUAAAAAUACCUCGGCGUGCCCCGAGACUCAACUCACUUCUCGCAAUAUGAGUUGAUUUUGAAAAAAAAUUAAAAAUACCUCAACGUGUCUUGAGGCUCAACUCAUCUCUCGCAAUAUGAGUUGAUUUUCCUUGGAAAGCAUGAAUAUUAAACAUCAAAAUACCAAAACCAGUCCUUUGGUAGAACUCGGGUAUCUUUUCCUUUGAUUCAGUGCGACUCUCAUUCAAGAUUUCUUGCUUUACUGGAUUACCUGUAUAUGCCAUGCAUGAUGUCAUCAUGAUAUGCACAUGUUUGUCUUAAAUGCCUUUAUGCCUACAUGAUUAUGCAGUGCUCCUUAAGCAUAUUGGUCGUAUGUCAUUUUCGCCAUGAUUGUUGAGGAUCUGCGUUCAUUGCUUUGAUUCUCGACCUUCUCUUCAGGCCUCAUACCUGUCUUCGAGCUUUACGAGUAAUCGAUGUUUCUCAGAUAUCACCCUUUUGCCCUUGGUUAAACUUUGUUCUUGCUUUGAAGAUCUUGCACUUAUCGAAUUCUUAUCCGGGUAAUGCUUGACAUUUCUUUUGUUUAGAGUAUGUCAUUUCACUAUUUAUCAUUAAAUAAACACAUAAUGAGAUGCAUGAAAAUGGUCAGGUAGGGAUAAAAAGGAUAUCUCAUAUUCCUUUAUUUCAAAUGUGGCAAACAAAGAAAGUUAACCAAUGAGAGUAAAAAUGUCAGAAAGAAAGAAAAGGUCGUAUUCGACAGAUACAAAUGCUCUAGAUAUUCAACACAUGAACUCUUCCACGUUCCUCAAUCAAUAAUCUUUUCGAGCAUGGCUUCUUGCGUAGAAAAUUUCGAGCUUUCAGAAGUGCUUCAAAUACUGUAGUCUCACUACUUGACCUAUCGUUCGACCACCAGGUUUGUUUCAUUAGGACGCCCUCUCGGGUUUUCAUCCUAAUCUUUUUGUACUAAUCAAGACGCCCUUUUCGGGUUUUCGCCCUGAUCUUUUUUUUUUAAGAUGCCCUUUUCGGGUUUUCAUCUUAAGCAUAAUAUUUCUUCACCGCAUCUGAAUUCACCGGAUUCGGUAACUCCUUCCCAUCCAUCUCGGUAAGGAUUAAAGCUCCUCCUGAGAAUGCCUUUUUUACAACGUAUGGCCCUUCCCAAUUUGGUUCCCAUUUUCCUCGCAGGUCUUUUUGUAUUGGGAGAAUCUUUCUCAGAACGAGUUCUCCUUCAUGGAACUCUCUUGGUCGUACCUUCUUGUCAUGGGCUGCGAUCAUUCUCUUUUGGUACAUUUGCCCAUGACAAAUUGCCCUUAGACGUUUUUCUUCAAUGAGGUUCAACUGAUCAUAUCGAGCUCGAACCCAUUUUGCUUCUUCUAACUUUGAUUCCAUCAAUACUCGCAGAGAGGGGAUUUCAACCUCGAUAGGUAGCACAGCUUCCAUUCCAUAGACUAGAGAGAAAGGAGUUGCUCCCGUAGAUGUUCGCACAGAUUGCGAUAUGCAAACAAAGCAAAUGGAAGUUUCUCGUGCCAAUCUUUAUAUGUAUCAGUCAUUUUCCCAAUGAUCCUCUUAAUGUUCUUGUUAGCUGCUUCAACAGCCCCGUUCAUCUUUGGGCGAUAGGGCGAGGAAUUAUGAUACUUUAUUUGGAACUGCUCGCACACUUCUUUCAUCAUCUUAUUGUUCAGAUUCGUGGCAUUAUCUGAGAUGAUUCUUUCAGGCAAACCAUAUCGGCAAAUGAUUUCCUUUUUCAAAAACUUACACACGGCAGUCUUCGUCACAUUGGCAAACGAAGCGGCUUCAAUCCAUUUUGUGAAGUAAUCGAUAACCACAAAAAUGAAUCGAUGUCCAUUUGAAGCUUUUGGAGAAAUUGGCCCUAUGACAUCCAUGCCCCACAUAGAAAAAGGCCACGGAGAAGUCAUGACAUGAAGGGGUGAAGGGGCUACAUGAAUUUUAUCGCCGUAGAUUUGACAUUUGUGGCAUUUUCUGGCAAAAUUGAUGCAGUCACUUUCCAUUGUCAGCCAAUAAUAACCGAGUCUCAUGAUCUUUCUGGCCAUAUUGAAACCAUUGGCAUGCGUUCCGCAAAUUCCCUCAUGGACCUCUUCAAGUAUUUUUCUGGCUUCAACAUCAUCCACACAUCUCAAAAGCAUCUGAUCAUUUCCUCUUUUAUAUAGGAUAUCCCCAUCAAGAACAAAUCCCGCUGCCAUUCUUCUAAUUGUUCUUUUAUCGUUCUCAUUCGCUUGUUCGGGAUACCUUUGAUUCUUGGUAUAUUCUAAGAUAUCAUGGAACCAAGGCCGUCCGUCUACUUCUUUUUCAAUGCUACAAUAGUGUGCAGGGACCUCGUAUAUGCUCAUUUUGAGGGGCAUUAUUUCUGCUUCUCUACUUGCUUUGAACAUUGAAGCCAAAGUGGCUAGGGCAUCAGCUAGUUGGUUCUCUUCUCGUGGGAAGUAAUGAAAAGUUAUUUCUUUGAAUUCCUUGAUCAAUCCAGCCACUAAAUCGCUGUACUUAAUCAAUUUUGAGUCCCUCACUUCCCAUUCUCCACGGAUUUGGUAAAUCACUAGGGCUGAGUCCCCGUACACCUCCAAGAUCUCAAUGUUUCGUUCGAUAGCUGCACGAAGCCCCAUGAUACAGGCCUCAUAUUCUGCGAUAUUAUUGGUACAGAAGAAGUUCAGUCUUGCAGUGAACGGAUAAUGAUUCCCGUCUGGUGAUACCAGGAUUACUCCAAUUACAUGCCCUAAAGCAUUUGACGCACCAUCAAAGCACAUCUUCCAUAACUUGUCUUUUGAUGACUCGGAUUCUAUUUCUGUGAUGCACAUUAAGUCUUCGUUUGGGAAAUCGAAUCUUAAAGGCUCAUAUUCCUCUGUCGUUCGAGUUGCUAAGAAGUCAGCUAUUGCGCUCCCUUUUAUCGACUUCUGACUUACAUAGGCAAUGUCAUAUUCCGAAAGGAGGAUCUGCCAUCGUGCCAUUCUUCCUGAUAGUGCCGGCGAUUCCAUCAUGUAUUUUAUUAGGUCCAGCUUUGAAAUUAGCCAUGUCGUGUGAUACAACAUAUAUUGUCUAAGUCUCCGAACUACCCAAACCAGAGCACAACAAUAUUUCUCAAUGGACGAAUAUUUUGCCUCAUAUUCAAUGAACUUUUUACUGAGGUAGUAGAUCGCCUUUUCUUUCUUUCCUGACUCGUCAUGUUGUCCCAGUACGCCACCCAUUGAACUUUCGAACACUGUCAGAUACAAAAUUAAUGGUCUUCCCGGAGUUGGCGGUACUAGCACUGGAGGACUGGACAAAUAUUGUUUUAUCUUAUCAAAGGUCACUUGGCAUUCCUCAUUCCAUUCUCCCGGGUUAUGUUUUCGAAGAAGCCGAAAGAUUGGGUCGCAUUGGUUGGUAAGUUGAGCGAUAAAUCGGGCGAUGUAAUUUAAUCUCCCUAAAAAUCCUCUAACUUCCUUUUGCGUGUGCGGAGGUGGUAAUUCUUGGAUGGCUUUUAUUUUAUCUGGAUCAACUUCGAUACCUCUUUCACUGACAAUGAAGCCUAGCAACUUUCCUGAGGUAGCCCCGAAUGUACAUUUGGCUGGAUUAAGCUUUAGCUGAAACUUUCUCAGCCUUUCGAACAACUUCUUGAGGUUCAUUACAUGCUCUUCUUCUCCUCGAGAUUUAGCAAUCAUAUCAUCGACGUAGACCUCUAGUUCUUUAUGCAUCAUGUCAUAGAAUAACGUCACCAUAGCCCUCUGAUAUGUUGCCCCAGCAUUCUUUAACCCGAAUGGCAUCACCUUGUAGCAGAACGUUCCCCACAUUGUUAUGAAGGUAGUUUUCUCCAUAUCCUCAGGGGCCAUCUUGAUCUGAUUAUACCCCGAGAAUCCAUCCAUGAAAGAAAACAAUGAAUGUUUUGCUGUGUUGUCCACCAACGUGUCAAUAUGUGGCAAGGGAAAAUUAUCUUUUGGGCUUGCUCGAUUCAGGUCAUGGUAAUCCACGCACAUUCGUACUUUUCCAUCUUUCUUUGGUACCGGGACUAUGUUAGCCACCUAUUCUGGAUAUUUGGAGGGUUGUAGGAAGCCAGCGUCAAAUUGCUUCUUGACUUCUUCUUUUAUUUUCAACAGCAUUUCGGGCCUCAUCCAUCUUAAUUUUUGCUGGAUGGGCUUGCAUUCUGGCUUUAAUGGGAGCUUAUGGACCACUAAAUCUUCAUCUAGCCCUGGCAUGUCCUGGUAUGACCACGCGAAAACAUCUUUGUAUUCGCGGAGUAAAGUGAUCAAACUAUGCUUGGUACUUUCUGAAAUAGAAGUCCCAAUCUUCACUUCUUGUUUCCUCUCUUCAGUGCCCAAAUUUAUUGUUUCCACAGAUUCUUCAUGAGGCAGAACCUGUUUAUCCUCUUGUUCUACCAUUCUUAACAAUUCAGGAGACGAGACAUAAUCUUCAGCAUUUUCUUCGGCUUCAAAUUCUCCUAAGCAAACAGCCUUCUCAAAAUCAAUUUCAAGAUUCGUAACGGGCUUAUUCAUGUCGUCAAUAUCUGAGCACCUGAAAGUUGAAUGGAAAAGGAAGCUAUCGGGGGACAUCCAAGUAUUGGAAACAACAAAUAAAAUGUUAUGUCAUGGCAAUGAGGCAAAUGUAAGGAUAGGCUAUGAAAUGAGAAAAUGAUUAUGAAAUUAGUGAUAAUGCGAAAAAUCGUGACAAAAUGCAUCUUCAUUGAUAUUCACUUAAAUGAUAAAGAGCGAAUGCAAGCUCCUACAAAAUAAUUCUAUUAUAUCUAAGGACACAAUAGAAUGUUAAUGUUUGAGCAUUACUCUGAAGACUUAUAAACUACAAAAAGGUCCUCGGCAGUCCAAUUGUUCAACAUGAAACCAGGGGGACAAAGGCGUAUCCUUGAGACAUCUUUACUUGUGUUAGCUCCUUUGUCAAUGACAUUUAUACUGAUGUUCUGAAAACCCUUUUCGAUCAUUAACAUUGUGCCUUGUGCAUUGUCCUGCCUCGGGUAUAUCAUUCCCGCAGACGUAAAUGUUCUUGAUAAAGGAGGGAAUUCCAUGGGCUCCCAUUCUGGUUCUCGGCCUAAGGUUCUCGCGAUCCUUCUUUCUUGAUCUUUCUUCCACUGUCUUCUUCUUUGACGCAUGUCCGGCUGGAACCCCAAACCGUAUCGGGCCUUAUGAUGCACUGGUUUUAGAGCCUUGACUAUUCCUUGAAGAUAUCUCCCUAAACCUCUUCUCACUCGAGCUCCCCUUCCUACAGUCAACUUGACACCCAUUCUAGUAUUUCUCGACAAUUUAGGCACGGGAAUUUUGUUUCCCUCAGUGAAGAAUGUGGCAUUGAUGAAUUCAAGGGAUCGGAAGGAGCAUUCCACUACAUCCUUGCUCACUUCAAGGUAUGGCGCAUCAGCAGAGAUAGAUGCGACAAUGUCUUCUUCUCCCUCGACAGUGACCAAACAGCCAUCCAUGAUAAAUUUCACCUUUUGAUGGAGGGAUGAUGGGACCGCUCCAGCUGAAUGGAUCCAGGGUCUUCCCAAAAGGCAGUUAUAUGAGGAUGUAAUGUCCAUGACUUGGAACUCGACAUCAUAUAUGUAGGGACCCACUUCUAGAGGAAUUUCAAUUUUUUCCAUGACUUCACGCCUUGUCUUGUCGAAUGCCCUUACCGUAGAAUGACAGGGCCUUAAAUGGGACAGAUCCAUCGAAAUUCUGGAAAGUGUGGCCAAAGGCAUAACGUUGAGUGCCGAACCAUUAUCGAUGAGCACGUUCGGUAUUAUGUAGCCCUUGCAACGGGUUGUGAUAUGCAAUGCUUUCACUGAGCCUCUACCAUUGAGUGGUAUUUCAUCAUCACUAAAAGAAAUGAAAUUAUCCGCAUUCAAGUUGUUCAUCCACCUAUCCAGUUUUUCAACGGAUACAUUGUUUGCUACAUAAGCUUGAUUUAACACUUUCAGUAGAGCGUUUCGGUAUGGUUCUGAAUUCAACAGCAGAGAUAAUACCGAGAUUCGCGCUGGCUGCUUACUCAAUUGUUCUACCACGUUGUACUCACUGUGCUUGAUAAAUUUUAAGAAUUCCUGUGCUUCCUCCUUCUCCACAGGAUUUUUAGCUUCUUGUUCAGGCGCAGUUUCAUGCUCAUCAUCGGUCACAUGCAUCGGUGCUUUUCCUUUCUGUUUCAAGUCACUGUUCUUCUUUAUCUCCUUCGAAUAACAUCUUCCACUACGAGUGAAAUGACCUAAUUCCCCGACGCUUCCAGUCAUGGCUUUGGGUUUUUCAUCUUCAGGUGUGACGAUAUUAACGUCAUAUUUCCAUGGUACUACUUUAUUGUCCUUGUAAGGGAAAGAAGAUGGUACUUCGAUUAUCAUUUUUGGUUUCACCGGCUCUUUCGUCGCAUCGUAAUAAAUUACUAAUGGUUGAUCAGCACUAUAAGGGGGACCUGAUGACUGGCUAUCAGAGGCGCAUACUUCUCUUUCAUUGGUCUCUUCCCUUUUGUUAAGGAUCUUAAUCUCCUUAUUAUCCAUCUGGUCUUGAAGCAACCUUUUAAAUUCCUCACACGACUGAAUGUCGUGUCCCACAAUUCCAUGGAAAUUGCAAAAACUUUGACCUUCUUCUCCGAGAAUCCUAUCGGGGUGACAAAGCAAUCCUUUCUUAACCAGUACCUCCCAGAUUUUCUGCAGAGGCGUCCUUAUUUCCGAAACACAUCUUCUGACUUUCCAUUCGUCCACUUUCCCCACUAUGCUCACAUCCCUUUCGAUAUGGUUAGGGAAUGGGUUCCCAGUUGCAUUACUGGCACUAUCGAAUCGUAGGAUACCUGCAUCAAUGAGUCCUUGAACUCUUCUCUUAAAGGCUAGGCAGUUUUUCGUGGAAUGUCCCUGGUUUCCCGUAUGGUAUGCACAACUAGCGAAUUGUAUGUUUUAACCUCAGCGAACGAGUAUGGAAUAUGCAAUGAAUGAAUGAAUGCAUGAAUGUCAAAUGACUGUUAGUCAUGAAAUAAAUGCAAGAAAUUGGUGUUAAUUUCAAGAUAGCCCCUAUUUAGGCAUUUCCUUAAUCAAAAGAGUCUAUUACACAACGUUUCGGUCACUCGUGUAAUUGACUCCUCUAUCAGAAACCCCUUUUUGGCAACCAAUCUCUAAUCAACCCUUUCCUAACAAGAUGUAUAUGAUGCAUGAUGAAAAAUAAAAAUACAGACAAACAACAUUGGUUAGCAAAACACAUAUGAUCAGAGAAAAAUUGUGGAAAAUCUAACAAAUUAAACUACUUGGUCCAAUGGACUCGAUUCCCUUACAUAGAAAGCGAAAGUGCAAAAGGUAAGAGGCGUUCCUCCCGUGCACUUAUUUUGGUGACUACUAAACGGACGAAGGUUCAGCAUGACUCUAGUUAGGUGGCUCGUAUGGUUCAUUAUAUGCGGUUUUGGUUCUAGAUAGGUACUCGAAUUGCCCGUACUAUCAUCUACUAAGAUUAACACGGAGCCUCGGUCAUAGCCUAUCACAGGCUCACGAGUUCAAUUCGAGGGGUUACAUUUACUUAUGCCUAUGCGGAGGGACAAGUUAACUCACGAAAGCAUAAAUCAUAUGUAACCCGAAAGUAUUCACUAGCCUGUGCGGAGGGACGAGUUAACUCACGAAGGCGUAGCGUUUACUUUCACUUAAACGGACGGAGCCCGGGUAGAGAGCUCAUGUUAUGCGAAAAUGCAAGUGCACGGUGUGUGGGGAACAACUCAUAUACCUUUACGUUUCACUUAAAGAAACUAAACCAAAAUUAAAACCAUAAAAAUUAAAAACUGAAAAACAACCAAAUAAGCAAGUUAGAAGAAAUAUUUACAGCACGAUACAAAUGCAUGAAUUUUGAAAACGAGAUUUUCGGAUCACGACCAAAUAUUUACUUUGAACAAGGAAAUUUGAAAAUUUUGACAAAACGUGUUUAAUUCCAGACACGACUCUCAAAAAGGCUUUCCCUAGUGGAGUCGCCAGCUGUAGCGACGUAAAAAUUUUAGCUUAGCUUGGUCGCUAAUUGUGGCGAUUUAUUGAAAAUUUUUUGAAAUUUGACGUUUGAUUUUUGAAAUAAAUAGGGAGUCGCCACCGAUCCUUUUUCCUAGGUGUGAUCGGACACCUAUUAGAUCUUUUAUUAAAACAAAUAAAAGGCUGAGUUUAGGUCUACGUUAAAAUCCAGAGAAAAUUUAGGGUUCGGGAGUCAGUUACGCACGAGGAAGGUAUUGGCACCCUCGCGACGCCCAAAAUUAGUAUCUUAUUAAACACAUGUUGUCUUGAUUUUCAAAAAUACGAAUUCAAUUUAACAUUUAAGUGUGAUCCGAUUGAAGGAAAUGAGAAGUUGUAAGUUUUUUUGUUUUUUAGAAGGACGUCCCGUUUUUAACACGAGCCGAUUAAUUUCACCCAACAUAGCGAUGAAAUCGAUGACUUAAUGUUAAAAUUGGUACAUUGCCUUAUUCUUAAAAUUAAAAUGUAAAAAGUUUUUAAAAUGAUAGUAAAAAAAAUCCAAGAAUAUUAUUGUCAAAAAAUACGAACAAUGAUGGGAAUAAUAAAAUAUAUAAAAUAUAAAAUAUUAAAAUAUCAAAAUAUUAGAAUAAUAAUAAUUAAUAUUGACAAAUAAAAAAUAAAAUAGAAAUAAAAAAGAUGUACAUAAUAUAUAUUAGAAAUAAUAAUGAUGUUAAAAAAAAUACUAUUAAUAAUACUACAUCAAUAUGUACAUAUAUAAAAAAUAAAUACAUGAUAAUAUUAAAAAUAUGUACAUAAUAUAGUGUUAAAAAUACAUACAUAAUAUAGUUAAGAUAUAUACAUAAGAUAACAUGUAGAAAAAAAAAUAUAUAUAAAUAAUAUAAUAUUAAAGAUAUAUAAAUAAAAUAGUAUAAAAUAUAUAUAUACGUAAUAUAAAAUUUAAAAUAUACCUAAUAUAUUAAAAGAAUAUAUAUAAUAUAAUAUUAAGAAAUAUAAUAAUAACAAAAAAAAGAGAGGGAGAGGGUGGGUGAUUUUCGGCCACAAGGCCGGCCAUCGUCCGGUCGCCGGACCGUCAUCGGCGCCACCGUACACGGCAGUCGGACCUCAAAAAAACUUUUUCGGUAAAAAUGGGUAAGCUUCCUCCUUUUAUUUUUUACUUUCGUAUAAAAGAAACAAAAUAAGAUUGAAAGGAAAACAAUAAGUAAACAAAGAACUUAAAAUGAGAAUAGACAAAGAAACCUCUUUUGCUUUGAUUUUUGAUUAAUCUCCAAAAAAACUAGCUUCUCCAAAAACUAGCAUUCACAAUAACUCUUCUCCUUGAUUACUUUAAAAAGAAACCUCUCCAAAAAUCCUUUACAAUAACUUUCUCUCCCAAAAACUCUCCAAAAAAAUCUUCCCCCCCUAAAACUCUCCAAAAAAAUCCCCUCCAUAUACAAAAUAUGAGAAGGCUUAUAUAGCCAUUUACAAAAUAUUUUUUUAUUGUUUAUGUCUUCAUUUGUAGGUACAAGUGGUGGUAGAGAAGGUGUGGCUAGUGGAGUUAGUGGUGGAAAAAGAGUGGCUAGUGGAGUUGGUGGUGGACAAGGUGUGGCUAGUGGAGUUGGUGGUGGAAAAAAGAGUGGCUAGUGGAGUUGGUGGUGGAAAAGGUGUGGCUAGUGGAGUUGGUGGUGGAAAAUGAGUGGCUAGUUGAGAAAAGUUUAAGUUGUGGGCUAGGUUUUUUAUUUUGAUUUGGGCUUAGAAUUUGGGGCAUUGGGGUUUUGAUGUAAAUUGGGCUUUGGGUAGUUAAGAUUUUGGGUUUUGGGUUUAAUUUUGGUGGGUUAGGUAAGGCUAAAUUGGGUUUUGAUGUAAAUGGGCUAAAAUUGGCCUACAACAGUUAAUAAUAACCAAAUUAGAAUUUUUAAAUUGAAAAGGGAGGACUGAAAUUUUAACUUUUAAAGUACAAGAACCCAAUCUCAAAUUAAUUACAAGUACAAGGACUAAUAACACAUGUUAGCUUCUUCUUCUUUUUUAGGUAACAAAAAUAAUCAAUAUAUGACCAACAUGCGGUAGAAAUUUAUUUUAUUUUAAAUAUUAAAUUGCUUUUAGUUUAAUUAAAAUUUUUAAUUUUUUUAAAUUUAACAAUUGAACCGAGUGAUAAAAUACUUGCAAAUAAAUAUUCUGUGGGCAAAGAUUUAAUCAUUAAAUAUUACAUUUUUAAUUAUUUCAUUUAAGUACUUCGCAUAAAAAUAGUAAAAAGCAAAAGCAUUAAUACUAUAAUUGUGAGACACCUUACAUGCGAUUCAAUUGUCUAAUCCAAAUGCGUGACUUCACAUUAUGUUGUCAGAGUAACUCAAACUAACUUGAUAUCAUUUUACUAAGUAACAUGCAUUCAAACAAAUAAAUCACGUAUAAUUUCAAUUAAAUCAUGUGUACAUGUUUAAUGAAUGUCAAUUAAUCUAGUUUAAAGUAUUUAGGAGUUGUACAGGAUCAAAUAUAGAGUUGGGAUUCGAAUCCAAACUCAUUUAUCCAAAUUUUAUAGGGGGUUUCGAGACAUGACAUUCAUGUCUCGAGACACUAAUAUAAUAUGAUCUAAAAUAAACAUUUAAAUGCAUUCAAUCACAAAUAAAUUCGUACCUAACUUAAACAAACUUUACACAAUUUCAUAUGCAUCAUUUUAACAAACAUAUAUAUAACCAAAUAUCCAAACAAUUUAACAAUCAAGUCACCUCAACCUAAUGUAGUUAAAUAAAUGGCUUAAUACUUAUAACCAUGCAAACUCAUUCAUUACUCAAGCAUUAAAACUCAACAAAAGAAACCUUAUAGGUCCAUAGCUAACCAAAGCAUACCAUAUGGACCAAAACAAUAUUUAUUAUGACCUUAAAUGCUUUACAAUUUUGAUCUAUUAAAAACCUGUCCGAGAUCUGCGCAUAAAAACAAACACAACUAUACGUUGAGUAUUAAAUACUUAAUGGUGCUAACAUAAUCUGAAUUCAAAUAUAAAAUAUUAAACAAUUUAAUAUACUAAAUAAACAUUUUAUUUAAUAGAUUCAAUAUAACAAAAGCACUUCUGACUCCAAAAGCACUUUUAAAAGAAAAGCUGUGAAGAACAAGCUGCUUUUUGGCUGAAAUUUUUAGCUUUUUUCUGAAAAUGAGCUGAAAAUGAGAAGCUAAAAAUUUUAGCUUUUACUCUCCCAAAGGCACUUUUUGUGCUUAAUUACUUUUUCACCCCUCCAAUAACAUAGUAUUUUCCUCUUUUUUUUGGUGCUUAAUUACAAAUGUGUUAAAAUCAUUAAUUAAAAAUAAAAAAUAUUUCUUAAAAUACUAAUUACAAAUAUUUAAUGGUUAUAUUUAAAUAUUUAAAAUAUAGUUUAUAUAUUCUAAUUAAAUUUUAUAAAUAAUUAUUAUUUAUUGCUUAAAAAUAUUUAAAAUUUAUAUUUCAUAUAUUAAAAUAUUAACAAUAAGUUAUAAUAAUUUUUUUAUAUUCUUACUAAAAUAUAAUAAUAUUAACUAAUUUAAAUAUUAUUUAAAUACAUAUUUGUUACUUGAUAAUAACAUGUCUAAAAUGGACAUUUUAUUUCUCAAAAGCACUUUUUGACAGCAAUACUAAACACUCAAAUUUUAAGCCAAACUUUUCAAAAGCACUUCUCAAAAGCACUUUUCCACAGGACUUUUCAAAAGUAAUGAAGAACUGGCCCUAAGAUGGCAUUCUAGUAUUUCAUUACCCAAUUUCAUAUCGAGCAACAAUCAUCCCAUAACUUUAUACCAUUUCAUUUAUUCACCCUCAGGGUAUUUAAGUGACAUUUACCUAUGCAAUCAAUUUUCUCUUCGUGAGGCAGGUUCCAAUGUCACGAUACCCAAAACAAUAUUGAAAUUGAGAGUCUUGAAGGUCUCGGUGUCAUGAUACCCAUAUUUGGUAUCGCUAUAUCACUGGAGUUGACCUUAAGUUUUUUCACUUCAGCAUUGUUAGGGGUAUUACGACUUUCAUGACCUCAAUGUCGUGAUACCCCGUUCUAAAUGAUAAUUUCCUCGAGUUUGGUCCAUUAUCAACUUCCUACACCAACUCAAUCAUAUCACUAGGUCCCCCAUGGCGCCAUUUGGGUCUUAAUAUGGCAUAAAACUAAUAAAAAUCAUUAAUUAAUAACAAAAACUAAAAACCGACAAAAGUAAAGAAAAAUACACUUAUAUUGCUUGAGAUUAAGCUCCUCGAGUGUAAUAGAAAGCUUAAUUUGACAUAUCAAAUUACGUCAGAUCACUUGUUCGGCACAGGUUCAAACCGUGUUACCCCCUUCCUCCACCCCUAAAAUCGUAUAAAAAAACUAAUUGCUAAUCUUCUAAUGUAGUCUCUGUACUAUAGUACUUAAUAGUUUAUAUAAUUUAAUUACUAAAUAAUUUUAUUUCUAAUUUAUCUUUUAUUUUUUUAAUCUCACACUCGCUUUGUAAUUGCUCGAUCAAAAUUUUGAACAACUCGAUUUAAUAAAUUUGAUCCCACAAUUAACUUUUCCGACAUUGAAAAAAAUCGAAUCAAUACAAUAUUAUAAAAAAAAACUUUUAAGUAUAGGUGUAGUUAGGAGUCCAUGUUUUUUUUAUAUUAAUCUAGUUUGAAGAAAAAAUCAAACAAUAAAAAGUAGCAAAUUUUAAAAAUCUCUUUUCCUAUUAAAAAAAAAAAACAAGUUGUUAAAUAAAAUUUAUUAUCUUGAAUGAUGUUUUGGCCAUAUUACAAGAUGUAUAAAUUAUGCAUGGGUUUUUUUAAAUUUAUUUUGAUUUAAAUUUCGUCGCGUGUGGACCAUAUUGAUUUAUAAUAUGUUUGGUUUGUGUUUUGUUAUUUUUUUAAUAAAUUUGGGCUAAACUGGUGAACGAAAUAUAUCUUCAGGUACUAAAUGAAUAAAAAAUUUUAAAUACCAAAAUAAAUAAAUAUAUAUAUAUAUAAUUCAAGAGCUCAAACAUGAAUAAAGGCUAAUAAAUUUUGUGAUAAUUUUCUCUCACCUAUAGGCAAAUAAUUUCAAAAAAGAAACUAUUUGAUAUAUUAUUAAUAAAUUUUAAAAUUUUUAUUUAUGAAUUUAAUAAAAUGUUAUAAUUUUUACGAAAAUGAAAUAUAUUAAAAUAAUGUAACAAAAUUCAUAUUUUUAUUUAUUUGUGAAAAUUAAAAAUCUCAUCAAGUUUAUAUAACAAUGUACUUUUUAUUUUAAAUAAACGAUAGAAUCAUUUUUGUUGCACCGAAGUGCCUAUGUGCUGGGUCGGAUAGCACACAAAAUUUUCCUAAAGCUCUUGCCUAAGCAUUAUUUAGGAUGAUGGGCUUUGAUUGAUCUGUUAGCCCAAAAGGUUCUAUUAAUAUAUAUUUUAUAAUUAAAUUUAAAUAUAUUUUUUAUUUUUAAAUGUGCUUCAGCACACUGAAAUUCACAAUAAUAACAAACGUUAAUCAAAUUAAUCAUUUAAAUACUAACUUUUUAUAAAUAAUGAUUUCGAUUUACAUGUCGAUCUAAGUCAUGCAAAAUGUCUAACGUACCAAUUUAUAUAACCAAAGAAAAGACUUUAAUUUGUAGUGUAAGCUACACCAUUAGUCAAUAAAUUAUUAAUACAUUUUUAUUUUGGUCAUUGAACUACUUAAAAGUUCUCAUUUAAGUCAUUAGACUGUUAAAAUCGAUGUUACAUGGUUUUCUCAGUUCGCAUUGCAGCUCUCUUUCUCAUUUUCUUCUACAGUUGAGUUUUUUUUUUUUAUGAAACAAUUUUGGAUGUUACAAAUCUAAAAAACCAAAAUUUAAACAACUUUUCUCUCCGAUCUCUUACAUUGAUCAUCACAUUGAUCUGGAUCUAAAGUAUGUUCUUUUACUCGUCAAUGGAUAUUGAUCCACAGUACUGAUCGUCGAAUUGUUGCUUGAAACUCGCCGGUGGAACUUAAAAAAAAAAACUUAAUAACCUAGUGACUUAAAUAAAAACUUUUGAAUAGUUCAGUGACUUAAAUGAAAAUUUUAAAAUAGUUCAAUGGCCAAAUUAUAAUUUUUUUAGUUAAGUAACCAAAACAAAAAUUUACCCAUAAUUGUAUAAUUUUCACUAAUUUGUAUCACUAAAUUACUUUAAGGGAUCGUGAGGAGUGACAAUACUUGUUACAGAUAGGCAAAGUUUUCAUCAAAAUUUGAAAAAAAACCUAGUGCAAUAGUUAUAUAAACUUUAGGGUAAAUCCCAUCAAUUGUCCCUAAUCUUUAAUUAAAAUUAUAUUUUAGUCACGUAACUUUCAAAAGUUACAUAAUUGUCACUAAAGUUAUCGAAAUGUUACAUUUUAACCACUCUUCAUUUAACUUUCGUUAAGAAGAUGAUGUGGCACAUUAAUUUAACGGGUUAGUCCCUGAACAAUAAUUAAAAUAUCAAAUUGAUACUUUUAAAAUUUUUCUUUAUAAUAAUUCUAAAAAAUUUAAAGGGUAAACUACUCCAAUAGCCACUUAAGUUUUAAUGCGUUCCUAUUUUGGUUACCAGAUUUUUUUGUUAAUUUAGUCAUUUCCAUUAGAUUAAUUGUCAUUUUUAGUCACUCCAUCGUUAAAAUACAUUAGUCAUUGAACGGAAUGUUGAUGUGGCAAUCUUUUGAUUGGUAUAAUAACAAAUUUAGCCCUUAACACUUUACAUAUUCUGUUUACUUGGUCCUAUGUUGAAAAAAUAAACAAAUUUAACUCAAUGUUUACACAUUUUGUCAAUUUAGUCCAAAUUCAAAAAUUUUAUAAUUUUAAAAACUUGAAAAAAAUAUAUGACAUAAAACUAAAAAAAUAUUUAAAAAAUAUAUAAAAUUACUUGGUUGGGCAUUGAUUGUAGAUGAAACAAUUUAUACUUUUCUUUGGCUGAUGCAAACUUGGUUUAUAGCAAUCGGGGAAUAGGCUCCGCAAGUGAUGCUCACUGAUCAAAACAAUGCCAUAAAAGUAGUUGUAGUUGCUGUGUUUCCUGCUGCACGACGUUGUUUCUGUGUUAUGGCAUGUCUUGGGUGACUAUCUAAGUAAUUUACCCUUUAAAUUUUUUAGAAAAAGAUUAAAAGUAUCAAUUUGAUAUUAUAGUUAUAGUUUAGGGGCUAAAUUAGUUAUUAACCCUUUAAAUUAACAUGUCGCAUCGCAAUGUAACAUUUCAAUAACUUCAAAGUUGGGUGAUUAAAAUAUAAUUUUAAUCAAAUGUUAAUGAUAAUUGGUGCAGUUUAUCUUAUGUAUAAACACCGUAUUAAUAGAGUUUAAUAAAUAUUAUUUUCGUAUAUGUAGAUUAGAUCACGCAAUAGUUGAAUAGGUCACAUAUAAUCGGAAAUAAUGAAAAUUGUUGAUGAGGAAGUUAUAUUUGUAUAAAAGAAGAUUGAAAUGAUUCAAUCAUUUUUGUGAAAUAAUAUUUAUAAAAUAAAAUUUGAACAUUCAUAAUAUUUUCUCAAAAUUACGAACUUCGUCGCAUAAAAAGAAAACCGGUUUCUUGUUUAAUUAAAAAGUAGGACUAUAAAUUGUCAACAUGCUUCCAUUUGUUGACCAAUAUUAUCCGGAAGUAGCUUUCAAAUGCUUAAAAAGUAACAGUGUAUUUUACAAUAUUAUCAGGCUACAUGGCCUCACUUUGUAUUCAAUAUAUAUUAUAAAAGAAAGCAAAGAACAAAAAUACAAAAUAAAUAAAGAAACUUACAUAGUGCUUUAACUUAUUACAAAGGGAUUUGUCUCCUUAGUAUGUUUCUACCAUGGGAGAUCGCCACUUUUAUCCCAAAUAUCAGGUUAUCAUUACGUUGCCUUGGAGACAUCCUUACUUGACCUAUUGUACUUCAUAUGGCUCCUAACUAGUUGUCCUGCUGAAAUUGCAGACAUAAGCGACAGCUCCCCGGCAAGAACAGCAGACGCUACAAUGGUUGCCAGCGUCCUAGAGUUUGCUCCCGGUGUCUCUUUGCUUGCACCCUUCACUCCAAGUAAGUUCAAACAGGCUGAUUGAGAUGCAAGCUGAGUUCCACCACCAACAGUCCCAACCUAAAAGAUACAGCAACACAGAUAAUUAGGGACUAACAUAAAUAUCCAGAUUUUGUUUUGGCAACGUAAGUCCCUGUGUUGGAUAAUCAGACAGCAACACUAUCAAUUACCUCGAUGGAAGGCAUUGUGACAGAGAUGUGGAGAUCCUUGCCAUCAUUAACAGCUUCCAUCAUCGUGAUGCAAUGCGAGCUCUCGACGUUUUGAGCCGGAUCUUGGCCGGUAGCUAUGUAGAUUGCAGCAACGAUGUUACUGGCGUGAGCGUUAAAUCCACCCAGAGCUCCAGCCAUAGCUGAUCCAGUAAGGUUCUUCAGCAUGUUAAGCUCAACGAGAGAUUCCACACUUGUCUUCAAGACCUUCCUAACCACAUCACCCUUAAUGGUGGCUUCACAGACAACAGAUUUGCCUCGUCCUUCAAUCCAAUUUACCGCAGCCGGUUUUUUGUCGGAACAAUAGUUUCCUAU